rnacentral:lncRNA from 1 species
AGAGCGUACCUGGAGCUGCUGCCUGAAGACGAGGAUGAUGGUGAGGCCGUGAGGGGGAGUUGGUUAACCAAUGUUCCCCUCUGCUUCUGUUUUUCCUUCCCUUCUUCUCUGAUUUCUGGUCUCUUUUUUUUGCUUGAUUUUAUUCUUCCUCUGUUUGUGUUCUCUGAUCUUUGAUUCUUUCUCUGUUUCCUUCGUUAUGUCCUCUCUGCGUUUACUCCCCUGUUCUCCUUCGCGUCCGUCUGUUGAAGAGGGGUGGUGCAACCGGAGACUAGGCUGGCGCUCGUGCGCUGGCUGGCCAAUGCUUCUCUCUGUUUCUGUCUCGUUUGCUUCUCCAGUCUUCCCCUGGUUUUUUUUGUGUUCUCCCCUGGUUCCUCCUCUGGUUUUUUUCACUGGUUUGUGUUUUUGGCCCCCCUCUCUCGGUCUCUUUCUAUUUAGUUCCUCCUAGUCUCUAUCUUUUCUGUCUCCCCUGCGUCCUGUGUGGUCUCCUGGAAUGCUUUGUUGCUGUGAAAGAUGGAGCUCUGGAGCUGCUGCAAGAAUACAACGGUCUGGACUCACCUUUAAAAAGUCCAAGUGGUUAGAACUUAUUGGUUCUUCAAAAUUUGUUGUUUUUACUACAACAACAUUACACAUACUGUAAAUAUCACUUAAAGAUAUUGUCCCCCUUACUAGUUUGUCAUCAACAUCACCAUCCUUUGCAUCAUCCAUUCCAUUUUGUUGCUUCUAUUUUAGCUCUUCAAUAAAGCAUUUUCCCAGUUCUAUAUAGUACCUUCUACAACUUUUAUAUCUCUAGCAAUCACCACCUUGUUAAAUUUCAAAUCAUAGAUUCUAUAGGCCUUAAAUUGACUGUUAUAACCUAUAAGAAUUCCUACAUUUGCCUUGUGAUCAAGUUUACGCCUUUUAAUUUUAGGUUUCAAAACAUAACAAGGGGCUGCCAAAAACUUUUAAAUGAUGAGUAUUGGGUUUAAAACCAUACCAUUUCUCAUAGAAAGUCUUAUCUUUCAAAGCUCUUGUGGCCAUUCAAUUGAGAAGGUAAAAUGCUAUGUUUGCUGCCUAACCUAGAAUUUUAAUGAUAUUGUCUUCUCGUAUAGCAAACAUUCCAUCACUGUUCUGUUUCUCCUCUUAUUGACCCUAUUUUAUUGUGGAGUAUAGGUCAUUGUUAGCUAAUGUGUGAGCUCUUCUUUCACCAAUUUUCCCUCAAACUAUCUAGAGGAGAGCGUGUUUGGGAGUGUGGUAGUAAUUGCUUUUCAAAGUAUUUUUCAUUCCAAAACACAUUAAAAUAAUGUUUUUUAUUUUUUAAAAAUUAUUUUUAAUAUCAGCAUAUCAAAAUGAUCUGAAAACACCAAAAAUAUAUUAAUUUGAAAAAAAAAAUUUAAAUUUUUUCAAAAACGCUUCCGAAACGUAAUGCCAAACAAUGUCCCAGCCCCAUUGUCAGACCUUAACAUUUUUAGUUUGUUUCUUAUUUCUACCUCAACUAUUAUCUUAAACUUCACAAACUCAGCAAAUACAUCAACCUUGAAUUUUAAAAAAUAAACCUUAUAAUACUUGCUCUAAUUAUCAAUAAAUAGUAAAAAAUAAUUUUAACCAUUCAAAGAUUCAUUUUGCAAAGGACCACACACAUGUAUGUGCAUUAACGGGAGUGUUAGUGAAGCUCUAAAGCUUUUAUCAGGAAAAACACUUCUAAUCUACUUUUCUAAGUGACAGGUCUCACAAAUGUCAUUUAUUCUUGUAUUUUUAGCAUACCAAAGGCCAUCUGCAAAUCAACUAUCUUUUUCAAGGUUCCAUAAUUAAAAUACCAUAACCUUUUGUGCUAUAGAACAUUAUCAUUUUCAACAAUAGUGUUAGCACGCAAAAAAACUUAUUUCUAAUCAACAUUAAAACUCUUAUCCAUAAUUUUAAUAGUGAGCAAUAAUAACCCUUUUAUUGUCUUUAAUGUCACACACUCCAUCAUUAAAAAAAACAAUGAGUAACCAGGUUCAAUUAGUUGUCCUAUACUGAUAAAGUUUCUACUUUAACAGUUCCUUUUCCCUAAGCCUUCAAAUAGUUUUCAUUAUCAAUUUUGACUCUAGACAUUAUUUUAAUACUGGUGUCUGUGCUGAAAAGCUUGAAGAUUCCAUUUUCAAACCCCACUAAUCUCGUGUUUCAAUCAUAACUCUUCAAAGAUCAAGGUGGGCUCUUCAAAUGGUAUUUAGAGAAAUUAGCUUAAUCAAAGAACAAAGGGCAUAACAAGAACUUCUAGGUUACUGUCAUCCCUUAAAUUUAUUUAUAGACAAAAUCAAAGAUUACAAGAUCUUUAUCAUAAAGAAAAGGAAUCAUAACAGCCAUAAUUCCCUUCAUCUAAGGGAUUACAUAACUACAUAGGCUUAUUCUAAGCUAAACAAAUAUCUAGCUAAACUCAAGUCUAAAAAACAGAACAUAAAGAAAAUACCAUAACAUAUAUAUAAAUAUGGCUAAAAACUAGCUGAUAACAACCUGUGCCUCCAUUUCAACAAUUUUCUCCCUUGCUGUUGGCUCCGAUCCUAACCCUAUGUAUAUGAAUUUGGAAAAUAAUCAUGUCCAUUUAAACUCUGAUUCAGAUGAAGCUUCACCACAUUCUGCUUCAGACAUCUACUGGUGGAUUGUCACAGACACAUCAAGUUAAUGAAGAGCAAUGCUCCUAUUCGAUUGAUUUGGAAUUGAAAGUGCAUGAAGAAGACAUCGGGAAAGAUUUGUUGCACAGAGAAUCUGAUGAUGGCCUUCUUAACUACUUGGAUGAGGAAAAAUAUGAUUUGGUUUGUGAGGGUGGUAUUAUUUACACUUGGCUAAGGAUGAUCCCAAAGUCUUCGAUGUGGUUAAGACUGUUGAAGAUGGUAGCUGGACAAUAUUGAAGAUGGUAGCUGGACACUGAAUCACAAAUCAAAUUGGUCUGCUUCAUACAAAAAAAUAAUACAGAUUCAUAGUUGUACACUGAGUGCUAAAUUAUUUUAGGUUUAAAAAAGCCUUCAAUAUGACAACAAAUCUAAAAAAAAUUCAACUCAACCCAUCAUUAUUUUCACUCUUAAUUUCUUUUCAAAAACACACUAGUGUUUGAUGAGCUCCUAUCAUCAUCAGUUCCUUCCUCUUCAUGCAGCAUUCGUAGACCAACCCUCUUUAUUUGAACAACCGGAUCAUCUGUAAACACUGAAACACUGAAUUUAUCACCGUUAUCAAACGCAGGAUCAUUGGACCCAAAUUUCCAAUAGCUUAGCCAUAACAAUUCAGAUUUUUUGGCCGAAAACUCUAUCGGAAAAAUCGAGGGGUAAAAAACCCAGAAUCUACCCUUGGUAUUGUUCCUGAUUUCAAGAUAAACAUAGAGGCAGCAUAAUCCAACUCAUCCACUCUCGUUGUGCGCCUGCUCUGGCCGUAUCUCUAUCCUCUCGCAUCCAAAACUAGCAUCAACACCACCCACCAAUAAGAAAAAGGCACGUGGAGGAUCAUGACUCUGAAUCAGCUACUGGGUCGGCUACCGAGUGGUGUUUCGUUUUGAGCCAUUGAGUAUUGCUGUGGAGUGGAGGGACAUUGAAGCUGCACAAUGUUUGGUGUCUUACAAGUGCUGAUGGCAAGAGGUUUAUUGAGUGGGGGUUCUAUAAGAAUGGAGGUUCCAUGGUGUGAUAGUAAUACGAUUCUGUUGUCAAAAGAGUAUGUGAGGUUUCCCGUUGAGUUGGCUCAUCGGAAAAUUGGAAGAGAACUCGAGCGUUUUUUAGUUGUUUAAGAGAAAACAGCAAAGGGGUUUGUGGAGUUCACCGUCUUGGAAAAUGGUGAGCAGCAACAAGGUGACAAGUAAGAUAAGAUAUUUAAUAUAUUUUAUUAUAAAUACAAGAUUUUAUAAAUAAAAAUCAAUUAAUAAAAUAAUAACAUAUUACAACGGGAAAAAAAGUGAAAGCCAUUACAAAUAUUUAUAAAUAAAAGAUCUCAUGCUAUACAAAGAAAGAAGGAAGAUUACAAGAGAUUCAAAACUAUUUUCCUGAUAAGCUUUCCAAAAAAAAAGAAAAAACAAUUUCAAAAGCUUUUCACUUUUGUUGUUGAAUUUUAAUUCUAUCUUUUAAUUUGAUAAUUUUCAAUCAAAAUUAAUUUAAAUUUUUUUAAUUUUGAUGAUUAUUAUAUUUUAUUUUUAUAAAAAAAUAUCUAUAUUAAUUUAUUGUAAAAAUUUAAUAUAAUCAAAUUAAUUUUUAAAUAAAAUAAAAUAUAUUCAAAUUAUAGAAUCCUCUUAAUUAUAUUUUCAAGACAUAUCCACUUUUUUUAUUAUUACAAGUAGACUUGUCUGGAAAGGAUAUAUGUAGAAGCAAAAAAGAAUUACCAAUUAAAUUUUACCAUGUAUUAUUUUUUAUUUUAUUUUUAUAUAAAAAGAUGAAAUAAAACAGAUAAAAUAACAUAAAAAAUGAAUCAUUACAUAUAUUUUGGUAUUGACACAUAAAAUAAUAUAUUUCAUAUAUCUUAUUAUAAAUCCAAGAUUUUAUAAAUAAAAAUCAAUUAAUAAAAUAAUAUCAUAUUACAGGGAAAAAAGAAAGAAAGUGAAAGUCCUGACAAAUAUUUAUAAAUAAAAGAUCUCAUGCUUUCCAUUAUAAAGAAAGGAGGAAGAUACAAAACUAUUUUCAUGAUAAGCUUUUCAAGAAAAAAGAAAAAACAUUUCAAAAGCUUUCCAGCUUUUUUAAUGUUACGGUUGAAAUCUAAAAAAAGCAAAACCUCUACUUUGGUUAUAGACGUCUCUUUUCAAAAUACCACCCACCCCUAUUGUCAUCAUUGGGGUUAUAAUGGAAACCACAAUAAUAAUUUCUAAAAAUACUAGAAGCUAUUUCUACUUUGGCCGCGUGUGCAUCAUCGCUACUGUUGUGGGCAUUGAUAACUUCAUCCUUUGAUUGGAUAUCAUCAUCAUCCUUUCCUUCCUCUUCAUGCAACCAUUGUACACCAAUCGUCUUUACUUGAAUAAAUGGAUCAUGUGGAAGCACUGAAAUACUCACGUCAUCACCAUUAUCAAAGGUAGGAUGGAUUUCACGAGCACCACGCGCGUAAGCAAAAGGGUAGACAGAGGCUAGAUGACGCAAGGAUCGACCACUGGUAUUGUUUCUGAUUUCAAUAACAACUAGACUAGAGUAUCUGUAUGCUGACGCCACACAACUUGUGAAUAGAUUAAAGCCACAUAUCCGGUGUGCAGGAAGAGCUGGGGAUAUUUUGAAUGAAAAGUUAUCUCCAAACUCAUUCUGAAUUAGCCAUUUAUCCUCUUCUUCCUCCUCAUAAAACCUAAACUCCUCAUCAAAUGCAUAUACGUAGAGUUUUCCAUGAUCAAAUAUUAUCUGCACCACCAAAACAAUGUCUAUAAAAUGAGCAAAAGAAAAGUAUUCAAAUGUAGAUUUCAAAGACAAUAAAAUGGGCGAGGGAGGACCUGAAAUCUGGAUGGCUGUAUUUGAGCUCUAACCGUUUCCAUUAUUCUGAACACGUGAGAGUCAAACUUUUGGAUUAAUUCUUGCUUUAUCCGAUCUUGGAACUCGACAAAGUGAUCACAACCAAAUGCUAAAAUCGAACCGUGUCGAUUUGAAAGGCUUUGCAGUGAAUAGCAAUAGCACACAUCUAACAAAGCCAAAUGGGAUGGAAGCUCUGGGAGUGCCUGAAGCAUUUUGCAAUUUUUUAAGAAUAGGUAUCUGAGUAGACCAAGACCCUUGAUGCUUUCUGGAAGAGAACGAAUUGUUGUUCCAUUUAAAUUAAGUUUAUCCAAGAAGCGUGGCAGUGAAAACGAGGUAAAUCUCAACAUUUUCCUCGCUGAAAACCUAGAGGGAAAUAAUAGCUUCAAUGGAAGAGAUGUAAUGUAUGAUGCACUUGCAACAAUUCCAUCACUUUGAAGCAAGCUGCGCCCCUGAUGAUGCUCUAACUCCAUAUUCAGGAUGUCAAGAUUUGAGCAACCACCUAAAACCAGCUCUUGAAGUGAAUUCAAUCUACUCAUUUCUUCUGGAAGCUCCAUAAGACUUGUACAAUUUCUUAGAUUUAAGAUCAACAGUUUUUGUAAAUCACCAAUAGAAUCGUGAAUUUGAAUCAAACUGAUGCAGUCUUCAAGUAUUAGCUUUUCAAGGGCUAGGAGACCCGAGAAGUCAGGGGUUCUAAUGAGAUCACGAGAGUGACGGAGAUCAAGAACUUUCAAUUUUGGAAGAAACUGUGAAAUACAUGAAUUUAGUUGUUAUCAAUUGAAAACGGAGAGAUAGCUAUAGAAAGUGACUCAUGAUACAUACCAGUUUGCCUUUCCAAGCAUCAACUAGACAACUUCUGGAUAGAUCAAGAACCACCAGCUUCUCCAAGCAUACGUGAUUUGGUAUGGAUCUCCAAGACAAUCCAUGCCAACAUAACCAUAUCAAAUUCUUGGGAAAGUGCUCAAAACUUCCAUGAAAAUUAGUGUAGUUUAGUUGGAGAAAUUUUACAUCUGGCAUCUUUCUAAAAGCAUCGUGCUGAGGAUGGAAACAAACUUUUUUGUAAUUUUCCCCAUCGGAAAAAUCAGAAAGCCAUUGUUGAAAGAAGUUAAGCCUGCGGCGCUUGCGCAACCAUUGAAUCAGUACAGCAACUUCUGCAUAAUUAUCUUCCAUUAAUGCAUGCAUAUCAAUGGUAAGGCCACGCAAUUUUUCAGCAUCCUGCAUAAUAAUAUUAAAAGUACAUGAGAAAGGAAAGUAAAUGAAAGAAUAUGUUAAGGCACCACAAACCAUUUAAGUAGACAUAAAAAAAUUGAGCUACUUACAGUAGUUCCUUUCAAAACUGUAAAAGCAUCCUCGUGACGCCAUAUUCUUUGACAUUUGGGAUUCUUGACGAGCAAUUUCCCUUCCCAUAUCUCUUACUAGUUGAUGCAUCCACAACCUUUGAUCAAUUGUUGAUUUCAACAAGACAUCUAUCGAUGAGAUUGUCAAUCCCAAAUCUUGCACCUUUAUCGAGCCCAUCCAGUAUCCUAACUGCAUCAUCCACAUCCAUUCCAUUAAAGAAACAUGCGAUAUCAAGGAAUAAGUUCUUCAGACAAUCACCAUCAAGAAAGUCGUAACUUAUUCGAAGAACCUUUUGAACUUCAAAAUUAGGAAUCACUUCCAUUUGUUGUAAUGCACUUUCCCAUAUUUCUCUUCCUUUUCCGGACAAUGAAGAGCCAAUAACUCGAAGAGCUAAUGGAAGUCCACUACAAUGAUGUACUAUUCUCCAAGAGUCUUCUACAAAACCAUCAGCAGGGUCAGCUUGUCCAAAGGCAUUCCAACUGAAAAGCUCAAGUGAUUUUUCAUCAUCUAGCGGUUCAAACUUUGCACCGGACCCCCUCAAUAUCAUUAGCUGAAAACAGACCCUUAUUUCUUGUUGUUACAAUGAUUUUACUUCCUUUACAAAGCCAAUUUUGCACGCCGAUGAUUUUAUUGAAUUGGUCCCUUUUGUCCACAUCAUCUAGAACAAUAAGAGUUCUUUUGCAACAUAAUGCAUCCUUAAUCUUCAGAAUUCCUUCAUCUUCAUCAUUUAUCUCAUCAACAGUCUUUUUUAGGAUGUCGGAAAGAAGUUGCCUUUGCAGGCAAACUAUAUCCUUUGAUCUAAAAUUUGAUAGGAAGCUCUUUCCUUCAAAUUUAUGAAUAUUCUGAUUAAAAACACUCUUUGCUAUGGUUGUCUUCCCAACUCCACCAUUUCCAUAGAGUAUAGCAAUGGCAGCAUCAUGGGACCCAUCUUGCAACCAUGAGUUGAUAUAAUUUACUAGAGGAUCUCUUCCAAUGAAAUGAAGGGGUACAUGAAACAUUUUUUUAUCCAAUUUCUUUGAGACCUUCUCCACAAUAGAUUGGACAAACUGUGCCUCGUACCUACAUCAAAAAGUAAAAUACAAUGUGUGAUAAUUAGUAGGCUCUCUAUAAGCAAUAGAAAUAAACAACAUUUAGCUAAGAAAUUAAAGCAGGUUGUGUGUCAAUGAUUUGAUGGUUAAAACCAAAUCGUGAUUGAAAAAAAAAAACAAAGAAGAAAUCAUAAGUAUUUUAUUUUAUUUUUCUUAUAUGUUUUCUUAUCAAUACACUUAACUGAAAGAAAUUUAGAGUUCACUACCAGCAUUAUAGUCUUAUGCUAUGUGUAGUUUCAUCAAGAGAUACAACUUACCCAUCUCCUAAAUCCAUUCCAGCUAAAUCUGCAACUUCCUUCAAAGCAAUCCUCCACCCAUUCACCCGCUCCAUCUUCUCCUUGUAAUGCUUUUCAUGUUCCACAAAUGCAGCAGCAAAGCUCCCUGUUUGAUUUCUGACUUCAGAUGGAUCCACAUCAUAGAAUACUGGCAAAACUAUACAGUCAUCAUUCCUCUUACGUUCCAUGAUCAUUACAAGUUCAUCAAGGCACCAUCUUGACGAAGCAUAGUCUUUGGAGAACACGAUUAUCGAUAUUUUCGAUUGUUGUAUUGCCUUCUGGAGCUCGAAACAUAUGUUCUCUCCUCUCUGAAUUUCAUCAUCAUCUCUAAAUGUGUGAAUCCCUGCAUCAACCAGGGCCUUGUAGAGGUGAUCGGUAAAGUUCUUGCAGGUGUCUUCACCUCUAAAACUCAAGAACACUUGAUAUUUCCCGGGAGCCAUUCCAAUUCUAGCAAAUAUAAGACUUUUCAAAGAUCUGAACAAAAAAAAAGGAGUUGCAGGAUUAAUGUCGAUAGUUCAAGAUCGACCGCACACCAAUAAGCUGAAGUAUUCAUAUAUUAUUAUCUUACUUUUUCUAUAAAACAAUUUUCAAGAUUUCCCAGCAAUCAACUCCUCCAUGCCCUCUCAGAAAAAUAUUUGUACUUAUGAUAAAUUAAAUCUCUAUGCUGAACCAGCAAAAUCGGUUGAUGAGUUACAUUCCACAAUAUAACAUAAUACCAAAAGAGAUGAGCAGAGUUACCUGCAAUCAUCACUUUCCCUUCGCUGAUGUUCUCUUAUCAGUUCAUCAAUUUUCUGCUUUUAAAUCAACCUUAAAAGUCUCUGUGGUAUGGGCCAUUUCUGCGUUAGGACCUUUUUUGUUUUUUUAAUUUGCUCAAAAUUGAGAGAGAAAGGUUGGAUUGUAAUUUUAAGACAAGUCAUCCCCACAAAUCCACUCUCUCUAUGGUAUGGAAUGUUUCCGAGUGAGGACUUUUUUGGUUUUAUUUUGAUCAAGACUUGGAUGUUGAAUAUAAUCACUAAUCUAUUUGAUUAUACAAAUGCACACUGAAUUUUCCAUGGCUAAUGGCGGAAGCAGAAAGUCGGAAUGUCUAGGCAUGACCAGUUAUGCAUGGAAAAUUUUGGUACCAGGAAUUGAUGGCUAUUGACAUGGUGAAGUAAGAAAAAAGUUAGAAAAUAAACUCCACAAGUUGAUGGCUAUAAACAUCAUUUCUGUUUCUCUUUUUUCUCAUAUCUUUUGCUUCGUGGUUGGUAUCACUGUAUUCCUUUAACAAUAUCUUUUGCUCUGAGUAGACGAAGAUCCUUUAUCUUAAAAAAAACAGAGUUGCAGGAUUGAUGUCGAGAGUUCAACAUCGACAGCACACCAAUAAGCUAAAGUAUUCAUAUAUUAUUAUCUUACUUUAUCUUUAAAACAGUUUUCAAGUUAUUUCCCAGCAAUCAAAUCCUCCAUGCCCUUUCAGAAAAAGAUUAUGAUAAAUUUCUAUGCUGAACCAACAAAAUCGGUUGAUGAGAUCAUCAAUAAUUAGUUUCUGACAGUGAAUUAAUCGAAGUGAUUCUCAGUUACAGCAGAGAUAUAUUCCACAAUAUAACAUAAUACUAAAAGAGAUAAGAGAGAGAGAGUACCUGCAAUCUUCACUUUCCCUUCGCUGAUGUUCUCUUAUCAGUUCAUCAAUUUUCUGCUUUUAAGUCAACCUUACAAGUCUCUGUGGACCUUUUUCUCUUUUAAUUUGCACAAAUCAUUUAUCACACGUUUACUAGGGCCUGUAAUUCUUGUUAUAAUUACCAAAAGGGACAUUAGACACACACACAACACAUAAUCCCUCUCAUCAACUCACACGGUUCUUCUUACUUCACCCACCAGUAAGAAAAAGGCACGUGCAGGAUCAAGGCUCUUCAUAUCUGACGUGGAGAGUUUACUAGCCUGUAAUUUUGCAUCAUUUGAAUUGAUUCUAGCUUUUUCUUUCUGUUGAAAGUCAAGUGUAUAUAUAUGAAGAAUUAGUCAGAAAAACAAAGCAAUUGGUUAAAUAGGGAUGGUAGGAGGGGAAGUUGCUGAUUACAUUUUAUCUGUUUCUCUGGACAACAUUUCUGCUGGUGUCUUUAGAAGACAAACUUAUGCCAAGAAAGAGAGAGAGAGUUUCUCAUGUUGGAAAUGCAGAGUGUUUAACUCAGAGUCCUGUCUUGAACUCUAAGGCUGAGUGUACAACAACUUCAAAAGAAGUAUGUAAAACUGGGGAAAGACAUUCUGAAGAAUUUUGGAUGGUUAGAUCUCGGGAGGAAGGUUUAUCCUUGGGAGGGUGGAUUAUCAAAAUCACAAAAAAAAUUUCUAAUAAUAAGAGAAGCUAUUUCUGCUUUUGAUACAGGUACAUUAUCAUUGUGUUAACUUCACUGUUUGAUGAGCUGCUAUUAUCAUCAGUUCCUUCCUCUUCAUGCAGCAUUCGCAUAACAACUGGAUCAUCUGUAAACAUUGAAAAACUGAAUUCAUCACCAUUAUCAAAUGCAGGAUCAUUGCCCCCAAAUUUCCAAUAGCUUAGCCAUAACAAUUCAGAUUUUUCGGCCAAAAAUUAUAUCGAAAAAUUGAGGGGUAAAAAACCCAGACUCUACCCUUCGUAUUGUUUCUGAUUUCAAGAUAAACAAGACGAUAAGGAUUGCAUACUGACAUAGCAGAAAACCAUGUGAAUAGAUCAAAGCCACAUAUCCGGUGCGCGGCGGGUGAGGAUAUUUUGAAUGACAAGUACUCUACAAAUUCUUUCUAAAGUAGCCACUCCUGUUCUUCCUCCUCGUGAAACCACCUUAACAUCUCAUUUUCAACAUAUUCAAGGACAACAUUGAAUCUGUUGCCCUAAAGUUCUAUCUGUUCCAUCAAAGCAAAAUUUAUAUAAUGAGCAAAGGAAAAAUUUUCUAGACAUACAAGAGCAAAAAAUUAGAAUUGAAAUAAAGCAGAACUUAUAAAAUGAGCAACGGAGAUCAAUAAUUUUAAAUUUUGGAAGAGACUGUGAAAACACUUGAAAUCAGUUGCUGUCCAUUGAAAAUAAGAGAGAUAGCUGUAUAGAGAGACUAGAUACAUAUCAGUUUGCCUUUCCAAGCAACAAUUAGACUGGUUCUGGAUUAGAUAAAGAACCACAAGCUUCUCCAAGCAGAAGUGCUUUGGUUUGGAUCUUGUAAUUACCCAACCUUUUUAUUUUAAUUUUUUAUUAUUCUUAUUAUUAUUUUCCUUGAAAAAUGAUGAUGAAAAACACAAAUAAAAAAAUGAAAUAAAUGAAGAAUAAAUUAAAAUUUGGAUUAACAGUAACAUGAGUAGAAGUUUUGGGAUUUAAUUAAACUUUGCAUUAGUUUUAUUAACCAAAUUAAUAAAGGAAAAAAACAAUCGAACAGAGGAGAGGGAGUGAAAGUAGGAAACACAGAAUCCCCAGAGAAGAACAGAGCAUAUACGGGGAAACUAAAAAAAAAAAAACAGAGGAAAACAAACACAGGCAAAGGUUGCACCGAGAGAAAGUCAAUCCUAAAUCUUGCACCUAUAUAUACCGAGCCCAUCAAGUGUCCUAACUGCAUGAUCUCUAUCCAUUCCAUUAAAUAAACAAGCUAUAUCAAGAAAUAAGUUCUUUUGAUAAUCAUCAUCAGGAGAGUUGGAACUUUUUGCAAGAACCUUUUGAACUUGACAAUUUGGAAUCACUUCCAUUUCAUGUAAUGCGAUUUCCCAUACUUUCCUACUUUUACCAAAUAAUGAAGAGCCAAUAGCACAAAGGGCUAAUGGAAGUCCAUUACAAUGAUGUACUAGUCUCCAAGAUUCCUCCACAAAAUUUUUUUAUUGUUGUAUUGUCUGUCGGAGCUGACUUGAUAUUUUCUCCUCUCCUAAUUCCAUCAUCGUCUCUAAAUGUGUGAAUCCCUGCUUGAACAAGGGCUGUGAAGAGCGAUCAGUAAAGUUCUUGUGGGUGUCCUUGCCCCUGAAACCCAAGAACACUUGAUAUUUGCAACGAGAAGACCGUGAAGACGAGGGUUCUUGAUAUUUGAAUCUAGCAAAGAAAACAAUUUCAAAGAUCUCACAAAUGAGAAAAAAAAAAAAGCUUGCAGGAUCAAUUGUCGAUUAUUCAAGAUUCUGUAACACACCAAUUAGCUAAAGUAUUAAUAAUUGUUAUCUUACUUCUUCGUUAAAGCAUUUUUUCAAGUUAUUUCCCAGAAAUCAACUCCUCAGGCCAUUUCAGAUAAAUAUUUGUACAUAUUUUAUCAGCACUUGCUACCAGCAUUUACAAGCACACAAGGAUGCCCAUCUGGAAGGCUAAAUUAUUUGCAAAAGCACACAUCUUGCAAUCCUAACAAUACCCGAGAAAGUGAAUUUAGUAGUUUAUAACUUACAGUAAAAACACACACAACUUAUUUGUAUAAAUUACCGAUCAUUCCAGUGUUUAUUAUCAAAUCAUAUUAUAGGUUGCGCUCAAUUAUAAUAGUAUUAUUAAAUAAACUAAAAGCAUGUUAGCUAAAAGAAAUAGGUUGAAAAGGAAUUUAUAUAUUACAAAAUUCAUGAUGAAAUAUCUUGGUCUAAGAUACUAAAAAAUUGAUGUACCCAAACUUUUACAUAUUAUAUCAUGAUGAAAUAUGUAAAUUUUACGAAGUGUAAAUCUUGUCUGGCUGGUAUAAAUUUAAUAGCUUCAAAAUCAUCCUGAAUGGAUGAGUAUGGUUGAGACUUGUUGAGACUUGUUGAGAAAGUUGAGACGUGGUGCAAAUCUUGUUCCAGAGCCACAAAGGCCAUCUGUCAAUCAACUGUACGAUGAGUUUACAGAACAUGUAUAAGAUUACUCACUUCUGGAUGAGGAAAGUUGCAUAGAAUAUAGAUUUGAUUGAUUACCAACGGUGGAAAAAAAAUCACUCAAAAUUUAUUUCUGCAUGAGUCAAUACUGAAAAGACAUACAUGUUGCCUAUUCAUGAGCUAACUGGCUUGAGCUUUUACCAAAUCUGUGGUGUCCUUGAUAAAAUGGGCUUUCUCGUUAUUCAGAAUGAUGGAUUUGAACUGGAUAAGAAAGUGGUAGUCAUUGCAGACACAAGUAGAAAACAAGACCUCGAUCCUGCUGCAAUCAGGUAUAUCAGUUAAAAGUUCUAUGUAUCAUGUUGAUCAUUGCCUGAGCCAAUUGGAUUGUUUUCUAACUUGUUUUAAAUGUGUUCUUAGUCUGUUUGAUUCAAUGAUUACUUUUUGCCUACCUGUUCGGAGGAAUCACCAGGAAAUAGCUACCCAGUACGCUAAGCACUUAACAAAAUGAGGGGAAAGAGUAAAGGAUUUACUAUCUUAUUUUUCAAGGAAUCCUAGGUGAUGUCGGAGUAAAGGAUCGUCAACAAGGGUGUUUUAAUUAGCUCUUGUAGAUUCUUAUCCAAAACUUGUAUCAUUUGUUAAUGUCAUCGCUAGAAACAUGUAAAGUGCAUGCCGAAGCUAAUAAAGAAAGUUUCAUAAGAUAGUAACAGAGAAGUAAUGCAGAUUGUUUCAUGACCGGCAUGAUUUGUUAAUCAGGUGGGUGAUUUUGGCUUCUCAUACCAUGAGCUCCAUUGUCCUCUCAGUACCUUAAUAAUAUUGAAUACAAAAAAAAAAAAAAAAAAUAUUCCAUUCAAAUAGCAAAAAUAGAAAAACCUAAAAAUAUUGAAUUGGAAAAUAAAAAUAUAAAAAAUAAAAUCAAUUUAUUCUCCUAAAAAAUUCAUGCAUCGGUCUUCCUUGAUUAGAAAGAAUUCAUACUCGAGUUUAGACCUUAGUAAAGAACCUUCCUUCAUGAAUAUCCUUUGUGUGUGGAUCACCGUAUUAUAGCCCUCUAAGACUUUUUAUAUGGAUCACUCUAUCAUGCAUCCCUAACACAAAACCUUGUGUGAGUUGCCCCAUUGUUAAUCCUACCAUCAGUAUUUCAAAUAACAAUAACUACUGCAGACAAAAACAAUGAGAAAAAAGUUCAAUCAACACAUUAUUGGUGAUACAGAAUAAUGCAAUAAAUAUUAAAUUUUUUUGCAUUUUGAGAACACAUAAAACAUCUUGUAAGUGCAAAAAGAUGUAGAAGUAGGAAGAGAUACUGAACUAGUGUGACUUACGGGAAGGUUGGUACCAUCGCUGAACAUAACAUCAUCUUGUUCAUUAUAUGAUGUAUGGAGAGAAAGAUUGUUAAAGUUUGCAGUUACAUGAUGGAAAGCGUGUUCCCACCACUAUCCAAUAACCAUGACGCAAUGGUUGAUGGAGAUGAAGAAGAAAAAAUUUCCUGGGGAUUCCAGGAGGAUGGCAUGCCAUUGGAGGAGUUAGCAGUGGUAGAACCAUAAACAUUGUCAUAACCCAGUUUUGACAUUUUUUAUUUAUUUAUUUAUUUAUUAUUUUAUUUUUAAAAAAAUGAUGAAAAACAAGUAAAAAUAAAAUAAAUGAAGAGUGAAUUAAAAUUUGGGUUAAGGGCAACACGAUUGGAAGUUUAAAGAUUUAAUUAAACUCUUGACUAGUUUAAUUAAUUAAAUCAAGGGCUUAAUUGGAGAAUUGAUUUAAUUAAAAUUUAGAUGAUUUUUAACUAAUGAAAUCAAGAGUUUAAUUGAAGAAUUAAUGAGUUUGAGGACUUAAUUAAACUUUGAUUUAAUUAAUUAAAUGAAUCAAGGGUGUAAUUGAAGAAAUACCAAAGUUUGGAGCUGAUUCAAGGAAAAAUUGCUAUAAAAUUAAAGUCCAAGGACCAAAUUGAAUAGUCCAAAAACCCAGGACUGUUGUGUAAAUGGCACUAUAAAUCAAGGAUUCAAUUGACUUAAUCCAAGGGUACAAUUAGAAAUUGAUUAUUAAUGAUUAAGAUCUCAAUUGUGAAGUUCAAAACAUCCAGGGACCAAAGUGAAAAAUGCCUCAAAACACACAAACGGCGCCGUUUGCAAUAAUACUGUUCGUCAUCCCUUCCAUUUCGCCAGGGCAGCCGAUUCAACAGGAAAAUCAGUGCAUCCGAUUCAACAGGCCAUGUCUUCUGCCACGAUCCCGGUCGUGAAGGAGACGGUUUUUGAAGAUCUCUAGCCUUAUAAAAAAGGGGUGAAGAAACAGAACGCAGAGGGGGGGGCGAGGAUCCGGAGCUAAAAAAAACAGAGCAGAAAUACAGAGUAAAAAAAAACACAAAUUCACAGGGAGAGGGGGGGAGUCAGCAACAGAGGAGAAAAAAAAAGGAAGAAAAACUGGAAAACUGGCGGAAAAAAGACCAGGAGACAAAGGACGAGAAAAAAAACUGGGAAAGGAAGAACUGCGAAAAAUCGAGGAGCAGAAACAGAGACCGAAACCAGAGGGAACAGUAGCCGAAAACCAGAGACAAAACGGAGAGGCAGAUAACAAAACAGGGAGAACGAACAAGAGGGCAACACACAGUGAGGAGAAUUAUCCUUGAAAUUGUCCUCGUACCUGCAAACAAAGAAAAAAACCCGGAUUCAGCCAAAGAACACUCACAGCAAACCGGCAUCUUCUUUGUAGUUUGAAAAGCUACUGAGAAAUCAAGAAGGAAAGCACAGACAAGGGAUCACAGCGGGGAGAGAAUAGAAAGCAGUCGAACGAGAGCAGCAGCCACCAGCAUCGCAGCCUUCUUCAUCGUCUCCAGAAGCAGGUAUGACUUCAUCCCCUUCGUAUCUUCAUUUCAAAAUGCAAUUGUUAAUGGUACAAGAACACUGUGUGAAGGUAAUUUAAUUACCUUCACCAGUGUUCGUGCACGCGUGAACAAUUCACGCGAGCUUUUAUUUUUUUGGCCCAGCCGGUCACUGGCUUGGGCCAGUGACUGGGCUGGGCUGGCUGGGUCCAGCCCAGCCCAUGUGGACUGAGCUGGGCCCAGCCCAAAAAUGUAAAUAAAAAAAUAUAUAAUAAAAAUUAUGUAUGUAAAAAAUAAUAAUAUGAAUUUAUUGUUUUUUUUUAUUCAUUGACGCUAGAGUCACAAUAAAAAUACCAAUUCAAAUUUAUUUCAUUGUGUUUUAUUAAGUUAUAUAAGAAUAAAAAAUGUGCGUGCAAAAAAAAAUAAUAUAAGAUAAAAUAAAAUAAAUUUAUUUGGUAUAUUCACUGACGCCAGAGUCAGGAAGAAAAAUAUUAAUGUAAAUUUAUUUAAUUUUUUUUUUGUUUUGUUUUUAUUUAGCUACAUUAAAAAAUAAAAAUAAUGCGUAUGCGUAAAAAAUAAAUUGAUUUUUGAUUUGUUUAUUCACUGACGCCAGAGUCAGGAAUAAAAAAAAUAAUGAUUUAAAUUUAUUUAUUUUGAUACCUACGUAAUAUUUACCAACGCCAGAGUUAGAAAUAUCCGUAGUUGAAUAAAAAUAAUGUGUAUGUGUAAAAAAAAUUGAUUUUUAUUUGUUUAUUCACUGACGCCAGAGUCAGGAAUAUUAAAAAUAAAUGAUGAUCUAAAUUUAUUUAUUUUGAUACCUGCGUAAUAUUUACCAACGCCAGAGUUGGAAAUAUCCGUAGUCGAAUAUUCACUAGCGCCAGAGUCAGAAAUAUUAUAAGCAAAUUAUCAUAUCGUAAACUAAUAAACAUUUAGCAAUUUAAGACGAAAUUAGCAAUGCAGCCUGCCUCAGGCAGGACGUUUAAGGGGUGAUAAUAUCUUCCAUUUUACGUAACCAGUCCCGAACCAUAGAAUCUCUGUUGACCAGUUAGGGUUCCUAGUGACCAUAAUACUAGGUGGCAACUCCUUAAACAAGAAUAUCCCCCAUCAAAGAAUAGGAUGCCAGAAAUCCAUUCUUUUCCAAAAGAUUUAAUUAUUUUUAAGGCCGCCGCGAUGUCGGGUGUGACAGAAUGGCAACUCCACUGAGGACCAAUGGACUAAGCUUUGCCUUUUAUUUGUCAAUUGCUAUAAUGUUUGUUACGUUGUGCUUAUUUGUUUAUUUUUUUCCUGCAUUUUACUGCUUUAGCAUGCAUCCUUGUUUAUAUUGUCAUGCAUCACGUUAAAAGCACACACCUUACAACCUAAGAUAAGUGGGGGAGUAACGGUACCCCAAUGGCUUUAGCCUGGGUAAGACUCGUGAAACCAUCCAACUUUCGCUUGAUUGUUUACUUGGAAGUGGUCGAUAUGCCAAACUGAGAUUACUCAGGGCCUCUAUCUUCACACUACUUGUAAGCCUCAUAUCAACCUUUUUAAGGACGAUCACUAAGCAUGCGAGAGACCCAUUUGAAACUAGAUAAUGAUCAACCCCUUUAUGCACUCAACAAUUAGGAUCUUCCUAUUAGGUUGUUAUCCCGUGAAGGGCGUGCCCACAUUUCAUACGCAUUUUUAAUUGAAUCAACAUUUUUGCAUAAGGCUCUUUGUUGUGCCUCCUGAUGUAAGUUGUGUUGUGUGUUGGGAAGGAUUUUUGGAUUUAAUCAUAAAAUUAUGAUUAAUUUUUAGGAGUCACCACCUAGUAUUAUAGUCACUAGAAAUCUAUGGUCUGCAAGAAUCUGGGUAAGGGAAUGGUUGUGCAAGGGGAAGACGCGUCACCCUCAGUGCACCCUACCUAAGGUAAGCUGCAUUGUUGUUUGAUUGUUUUUUGUUGGUCUUUCUAAGGCUCAAGGUAGAUCUCUCUUCAUGAGAGAAUCUCUACCUUAUUGGGUUAAAUCCUAACCGUUCUAAAGUCUGAAUUUUAGCAUCGCAUUUAUUUACACCUUGUAUCUUUAAUACCUGAGGGUGUACUUUAUCGUGUAAUUUUACACCACACAAAUAUUAAAGUCUACAUCUAGAACCUAAAAAACAUGAUUGAAAAAGGUUUUUGACAUUUUUGCCAAAUCCUAAUGGAUAAUCAUAAACUGGUUACGAUAUCCAUUUUUGGAUUUUAAAAAAAAAAAACAUGAAAAAGAUGCAAUUUUUGUUUUAGUUUUUUUUUGUAUAUGAAAAGUAUGAUUGGAAAAUUUUAGGAUUUGGCCGUAUGCAAUAAGAUAUUUUUAUUUGUGAAAAUGCUUUUGAAUUUUUUUUUUUUUGAAAUAUUUUGGAGAAAACCGGGUAUUUUAAUACCGGAUUUGUAUUUUACAAUGUAAAUAUACAACCCGAUAUUAUGCAAAAUAGAUAGAAAAAUAUUUGAGAAAAUAAAAAAAAAUUUAAAUUGAUUUUUGGAUUUUCUUUUUUAAAAAAAUGUCCACUGCAUGAACAGUGGACGUGAAUUAUAAUUCACGUCCACCGUUCACUUAAGAACAGUGGGACUUGCACGGGGAAGACGAAGAACUAGGGGAAGGGUGGCAGACCACCUGGUAUGGCGGUGUUGGCUGACUGGCGGGGGAGGAAGACCUCAAGCCGUCGGUGGAAACGACGAUGGAGUUAGCUGCCUGAAUCGCCUGGAGCGGCUGUAGCUGGAAGAGGAAGAAAUCUGCAAAGGGGAGAGAGACGCUCGCGGUGGCUGGCCGAUGGUCUUGGCAACACGUGGUGGUUUUGCUUGAUCAAGGCGGAGCUGGAGGAAGAGAUGUUGAUGGCGUCAGUUUCCUGUGGCGGAGUAAGAAAGAAGAAGAAGCAGAAAAAUAAAAAUAAAAUCUGCAGUGGGGGAGGAAGGCUGGUUUUUUGGCUUACUUUGGACCCGAUUUUCUCCUCUCUCAAACCAUCAAUGGAGCCUCUAUUUAUAGGCGGUGGAAGAGGGUAAUCUCGUCUACCCCGGGGUAAAAUUUCAGCCAUUGAUUUAGUUGGGAAUGAUCCCAACCGUUGGCUCAAAGUAGGCAUCCUGAGUUGUCAAUUCUGCAGAAAAAGCUGCCUGAGUGGUCAUGUUUGAUCAGAAAGGGCUUGAUUGGGUACAUAACAUAGGUUUUGGCUCUUGGCUAUGAAGAAAAAGGAUAUUUAUAGGCUCAAAAGGUGUUUAAGGGAUUUCAAGACUAAGGAUCACUAGUGCUUAUAUCCUAAAUUUUUUUUCUUGAAUUUCUGGAAUUGAUUUUCAAAAUGAUCCAUAGUGCCCCCCAAUAUUGGGCUUUUUCUUUUGGUUUUGAGCAUCAUUAUAUUAGUGAUUUUUGUGGCACGCUCAAAUCUUUUUGGAACUCUUAUAUGCCCCCAGCUUUGUUUGGACACUUUUGAUUAAUGAGGAUUUCGUUUCAUGCUCUAUAGUGUUGUUUGGGCGCUUUUAUCAUUUGAGGACUUUUUAUGCCCCCAGGGUUGUUUGGGCAUUUUUUGUCAUUAUUGAUUUUUUGCACUUGCUCCCUAGUGUAGGGUGUGAUCCUAGUUAAGGUUAUUUUCCAAGAAAUAUGCAUUAGGCUCAAAAAGGGACUGUAAUGGAUUUUUAGACGUUGUGAAAGGAUGAUCAAAGAUAGCCUUUCUUCAUUUCAAAUGCAUUCAUUCAAAAUCGGCAAGCUUUGCUUUCUCACAUGUGAAUAUGCAAAAAUGGUUUCUCAUUAUUCAUGCAGUCAAAACUCAGCUUUGAAGUUAUCUCAUGGUGUUUGGGUUGUUUUUCAGGUUUUUUAAGUGUUAGGAUAUCACUUGAAUUUUCAGAACUUGUUUAUUAGAUCAAACACCAAUUUGAUUUUUGUUCUUGUAUUAAAACUUUGAUUUCCCAAAAAUCCUUGUGAAAACAUGGGGUCAUGUUUUUUUUUUUUUGAAAGGGGAAAAGAAAACACCAAAGAAUUUGUGGCUUUGUGAGUGAAGGGUAUGCUCAGUAUGUUAUUUGCAUGGAAGCACAUCAUGAACAUAGAAAAACACAUGAUUUUAUUAACAGGAAAGGCUCAUUUAACAGAGAGUCUUGUAGCAUUAUGAGCCAGAUUGCCAACAAAACUAAAACAGGUUGAAACAGACAUGAUCAAACAAAAGAAAACUUUAUCCUCUAUCCUCGAGAGUGCACACUGCCUUCUUCACACCUUGCUCCUACCAUCAAUGAUUUGAUGUUUUCGGAACAUUCCACCUCUAGUGCAUUCACCGAUCCACUACCUGAAGCAUGAUUGGGUAGAGGGUUCAAACUCACGUUUGGAGUUCCUUCGAGGGUGAUCCAUCCAGCUUUAAUCAUAUGCAUAAGCCUCUUCUUAAAGGCACUGCAAGUAUGAAUGUUGUGUCCCGCGACUCCAGCAUGGUAUUCGCAAGUGAGGUCGGGCUUGUACCAAGGUUGUCAAUUCCGUUUUGUUCCAUCCGGAAUGGCCGAAACAUUCCAUACCAAUUUAAAAAACGGAACAAAACGGAACAAAUUUCAUCUCAUUUUAAAUCUCGGUCUAUUCCGGAUUUUUCGGCUAAAUUCUGCCCGAAACGUUCCGGUUUCAUUCCACAUGUUUCGUUCCGCUUUUGAAAAGCCAUUGAAUCAAAUUGAACCUUGCUCAAUUUCAUUAACUUAAACCACCUGAUUAUAAAAAAACUCUUUUUCAUUACUAUUUUCAAUAGCAAUGAUAUUAAUAAUAAUAUUGAAAAUUAUUAUUACUAUUUUCAUUAAUAAUGAUAUUAAUUUUUUAAAAUUAGAUUUAUCACUAAUAUAUAUGGUUUAUAUUCAUGUUUUUUUUUUUCAUGUUUAUACUUUGUAGGAAUUUGAUCAAAACAAGGGAUGCUUCAGAUUCCAUUAGCCACUUAAUAACAUUGACCUAAGUUUAUAUUUAAAAUAUAUUUUUUUAAACAUUUUACUUUCAUAAUAUUUUGAUAGUUUGUUUAAGUUGAAUUACUUUAAGUUAAAGAUCUAUUUAAUCUUGAGUAUUUAGAAAUAUUUUAAAUUUUAAAAUUAUAUUUGUUUGGCAUUGUGUUUGUAUUGCAUAAUUUAUAAUUAAUUUAUCUUGAAUUUGAAUUAUAUUUGUUGAAUAUAUAUAUAUGAACAGUACAACCCCGAAACGGCACGCCGAAACACUCUGAAACUUAAACAUUCCAUUCCAAUUGAAAAAAUGAAACACCUACCAAAACGGAAUUAACAACCUUGGCUUGUACCAAUUGGGUAAGGUGGUUGUAAAGGCGUCAAGGGUUCAGGAGCUAUACGCCCAAUGCUUAGUAGCUUUUGAUACAUCUCAUUUAAAGGCAAUGGUAAUGGAGGUAGUUGUUCUUGAGCUCUUUGGUGUUUGGUUUGAGGCUCGGGUUUUUUGGCAGGAAAAGAAGAGUUGAAAUUGAUGUUGUCUAUUUGGGGUGAAGUGUGAUAGUUUUGGAAUGGGUUCUUCCUACCCUCAACAUGGCCAACCUCUUUCUUUUUACCUUCGAAGCCCCUUUUUUCCAUAGGUGCGGAGAUUCUACCACUCUUUAUUCCUUGUUCUAUGCGUUCAGCUACUGCCACAACAUAAGUAAAUUGAUGGGUCGAACUACCCAUAACAUGCACGUAGUAUAGGUCAUUGAGCGUAUUGGCGAACAGAGUGACCAUCUCUUUAUCUAGGAGCGGAGGAUGUACUUGAGUAGCUAGGUCUCUCCACCUUUGAGCAUAUUCCCUUAUGCUUUCCUUGUCCCCUUUCCCUAGAUUGGACAGACUGGUUCUAUCAGGAGCAAUGUCCAUAUUGUACUUGUAUUGCUUGACAAAAGCAUCUACCAAGUCUUUCCAUUUUUGGAUCUUUGUGUUGUCCAAUCUCAUAUACCAGCUCAAUGCUGCCCCACUUAAGCUAUCCUGGAAAAAGUGCAUUAGUAGUUUUUCAUCAUGUACUACUUCUGCCAUUUUGUUGCAAUAGAAUUUGAGAUGAGUCAGGGGGCAUUGUGUUCCGGUAUAUUUGAUGAAUUCAGGAACACGAAACUUUUUUGGGACAAUCACAUUUAGGACCAAACACAUUUCUGCUGCCCGUACUGGAUCAUACAAGUCUACCCCUUCAAUGGCUCUAUUUCGGGCUUCCAGCGCUGCCAUCUUAUCAAUGUCAUCAGAUGACUUCGUCUUAUGGGACUCAUUGGAAAAUGGAUCUGUGACUACAGGGGCUGGUGCCGAUGGCAUUGAGUGCACAAAUGCUGGAUUGUGUGGAGGUUCUUGACCAUGUUCACUCAUUGUUUCUUCAAGUUGAGCUAUUGCUGGAGGCUGAACAAAAAUAGCUGGCCGAUUAGAAUGACCUUCACCAGAGGCAUUUCUAAGUGUUUGCUCGAGUAAGCUAGUGAGGUGAGCCACGCUUGCUUUCAGAGACUCUAACUCUUAUGGGCGUCACAGUGAGCACGCUCUUCAUCUUCCAUGUUUCUCGCUUAGAGUUGGGUGUUGUAGACUCUUUGGGGACCUAUAUUUUGACAUGUUGCAUGUAUGUAUGUUAUUUACAAUGAAUUGAUGUAUGUGUAUGGAUGAAAAUGUAUGUAUAUUCACAUUGGGUAUGAAUGGCAAAAACUCAUGCAAAAUGAUUAACAAGAGAGUUCAUACUCUAAAGGAAGGUUCUAGGUCAUUACAUGAUGGGUAGGCUUUCUACCUGGUCUUAAAAAGGUCUAUGAACUGCCUAAUGACCACCUUACGUGAAGGCAGUGCAGGGGUUUACAAGUAAUGGUUGGGGCACAAUGUGACCGCCAUUACCGAGUAAACACUCAGCUCAUAGUUGGAUGUUUCACGAAUCUGAACCCCGACUGAAAGUCAUGAGGCAGAUCGCUACUCCCCACCUAACCUAGAAUUGGGUUUAUUCGUAUGCUAAAGUAAUAAAAAUACGAGCUAAAAUUAAAGACCAACAAAAGGAAAAUAAUCAAACAAUCAAUGCUUAGUCUAACCAGAAAUGGCUUUCCCCAGCGGAGUCGCCAUCCUGUCGCGGGGGCCGCAACGUCGUUUGGCGACGGCGGAGGUUCUUUGUCGUGCCACCUGAUGUGAGUUGUGUUGUGUGUUGGGAAGGAUUUUUGGAUUUAAUCAUAAAAUUAUGAUUAAUUUUUAGGAGUCGCCACCUAGUAUUAUGGUCACCAGGAACCUAUGGUCUACGAGAAUCUGGGUAAGGGACUGGUUGUGCAAGGGGAAGAUGCGUCACCCCCAGUGCACCCUACCUAAGGUAAGCUGCAUUGUUGUUUGAUUGUUUUUUGUUGGUCUUUCUAAGGCUCAAGGUAGAUCUCUCUUCAUGAGAGAAUCUCUACCUUAUUGGGUUAAAUCCUAACCGUUCUAAAGUCUGAAUUUUAGCAUCGCAUUUAUUUACACCUUGUAUGUUUAAUACCUGAGGGUGUACUUUAUCGUGUAAUUUUACACCACACAAAUAUUAAAGUCUACAUCUAGAACCUAAAAAACAUGAUUGAAAAAGGUUUUUGACAUUUUUUCCAAAUCUUAAAGGAUAAUCAUAAACUGGUUACGAUAUCCAUUUUUGGAUUUAAAAAAAAAAAAAACAUGAAAAAGAUGCAAUUUUUGUUUUAGUUUUUUUUUAUAUGAAAAGUAUGAUUGGAAAAUUUUAGGAUUUGGCCGUAUGCAAUAAGAUAUUUUUAUUUGUGAAAAUGCUUUUGAAAUUUUUUUUUUUUUGAAAUAUUUUGGAGAAAACCGGGUAUUUUAAUACCGGAUUUGUAUUUUACAAUGUAAAUAUACAACCCGAUAUUAUGCAAAAUAGAUAGAAAAAUAUUUGAGAAAAUCACAAAUUUUUUAAAUUGAUUUUUGGAUUUUUUUUUUAUAAAAAAAUGUCCACUGCAUGAACAAUGGACGUGAAUUAUAAUUCAUGUCCACCGUUCACUUAAGAACAGUGGAACGUGAAUUAUAAUUCACAUUCCACUAUUCAAAACAGUGGGACUUGCAUGGAGAAGACGAAGAACCAGGGGAAGGGUGGCAGACCACCUGGUAUGGCGGUGAUGGCUGGCUGGCGGGGGAGGAAGACCUCAAGCCGGCGGUGGAAACGGCGGUGGAGUUAGCUACCUGAAUCGCCUGGAGCGGCUGCAGCUAGAAGAGGAAGAAAUCUGCAGAGGGGAGAGAGACGCUCGCGGUGGCUGGCCGGUGGUCUUGGCAACACGUGGUGGUUCUGUUUGAUCAAGGCGGAGCUGGAGGAAGAGAUGUUGAUGGCGUCGGUUUCCUGUGGCGGAGGAAGAAAGAAGAAGAAGCAGAAAAAUAAAAUCUGCAGUGGGGAAGGAAGGCUAGUUUUUUGGCUUACUUUGGACCCGAUUUUCUCCUCUCUCAGACCAUCAAUGGAGCUUCUAUUUAUAGGCGGUGGAAGAGGGUAAUCUCGUCUACCCUGGGGUAAAAUUUUAGCCAUUGAUUUAGUUGGGAAGGAUCCCAACCGUUGGCUCAAAGUAGGCAUCCUGAGUUGUCAAUUCUGCAAAAAAAGCUGCCUGAGUGGUCAUGUUUAGGCCGGCGCCGUCUAGCUGGCAUUCAUACUGAAUUGUUUACUUUAAUAUGUAGAGAAACUUCGGGGGAUCAUUUUCGUGCAAGAUUUGUCAACUUUGGUGGCUGGUAGGUACACUAAAUGCAACUGCAAAGUAGGCAACCAAACCAGCUUUUUUCAGAAAAAAGUGAAGAAGAUAAUGAACAGUUUUUGGCCAAUAUUCAUUUAAGUCCUCCAUCUGUCAAUUUCGUUCAAUGGAGCCCCCUAAUUGACCAUAAACUUUCAAUUGCUUCCAAUUUGGCCCCUAAUUCAACCAAUUUACUUGGUAAAAAUUAAAUUUGAUCUCUUAAAAUUUCAAUAUUCUCAAUUAAGCCUAAAUUAGGCUCCCAAACUUAAUUUUUUACCAAUUAAGCCUCAAAUAAAAUUAAUUUGACCCAUUUAAAGUAUAAUUAAGUCCUUGCACUUAGUUAAAUCCUUUAAUUGGACCCAAAUUAAUUCUUAAACAUAAUUAAAAAUUCAAAUUGGCCCAUGAUUAAAUGAAAUUGGCCUAUUAAAAAUUUAAUUAUGUCCUUGGACUUAAUUUUUAUGCAAAUUCGUCCAAUAAUCAUUUAAUUUGACCUUGAAUUUGCAUUGUUUUCUCCUUUUUUGGGCAUAAUGGGGUACAAAAAAUUGCAGCUUAAUUCUCCGACCUACUUUCUCCAUAUUACGAGCCUUUAUUUUAUUUUAUUUUUAUUUUGAAAAAGAAGUUAUUUUUGGGGAAUAACCCAUAAUUGGGUUAUGACAAAUUGCAUGAUUUACAUUUACAGGUUGAAAUAUAGGUUCCCCAUUAAAACCUACCUAUAACAAUCAUCUGAGAAAAGACAAAUGGAAAACGAAGAAAGAUCCCAGUUGGAAGCCCAACACCAAAAAGAGGUGGAUAAUCUUAAAGAAGAAGUUGUAAGGCUUACUAGUCUACUUGAACAGGCCUUGAGAGACAAAUCCAGAAAAGCAACACAUAUGUUUGUCUUAUGCUUGUAAAUCCCUUCACCUCACAGAAUCUAGGGGUAAGCGGUUUGUCAUUUGAUUUUCAACAAGCCAUGCAUUUCCAACCAGCGUACCCCACGAGAACGCUAUUAACCAUUGAUUCUACAGAGAAGGAAUCUCAAAAGGGCAAGAUGGUAAAAGAAGAUGAUCUGAACAAAUUCAUUGCCCUAGAGUAAAGGAUGAGGGCAUUUGAGGGAAUUCGCCUAUAUGAUCAUAUAAAGGCUACUGAGAUGUGUUUGGUGCCCCACGUUGUCAUUCCCAAAAAUUUUAGAGUGCCAGAAUUUGUUAAGUAUACGGGAACUCAGUGCCCUAUAACUCAUCUCAAAGCAUACUGCAACAAAAUGGCUGAGGUUGUUAAUGAUAAGAAACUGCUGAUUCAUUUCUUUCAAGACAGCUUGAGUGAUGCUGCCCUCACUUGGUAUAUGCGGUUGGACAAUACCAAGGUUAAAAAGUGGAAGGAUUUAAUUGAUGCCUUUAUAAGGCAUUAUAAGUUCAAUAUAGAUGUGGGCCUUGAUCGGUUAAGCUUGCAAGCUAUGGAGAAGGAUAAUAAAGAGUCCAUAAUGGAAUAUGCCCGAAGAUGGAGUGAGGUAGCUGCACAAGUUAACCCUCCUAUGUUGGAAAAAGAGAUGAUCAGUUUAUUUUCCAACACCUUUAAAGCUCUGUACUUUGAAUAUUUGGUCAGAAGCUCUGCACAACAUUUCACUAACCUGGUUGUUAUAGCUGAGAGGAUUGAACAAGCCAUUGGGUUAGGUAAGAUUGCUAACCCGAUGGAGAAGAACAGUUUCACUGAAGUUGAUUGCCAAGGCACUUAUCAUUUCUAUAGCUAAUUCCUUCACACCCGACUCCCAGAAAUCAAUUAUCUUGAAGAUAAAGCUAUGGUGAUAUUAGGUCGAGAAUGAUCUACAUAUAAUUUCAAUUGAUUGUUGAAAAGAUGCCCUUGUUGAGGAGAAUGAAUGAUUGAAAGAUUCCAGAAAUUCCAAUCAAUGAUAUCUAAAUGUUUAGCCCUUUUAUGUGUUAUCAUGUCAGUAUUCAUAGCUCAAGAUGUUGGCAUAAGUUCUUUGUUGUUAAACUUCUUUCCCAAAGUUUCAAUGAAAUAAUGAGUUUUUCAUUGAGUCAUGUUUACGCCCAAUCAUUAUUCAUUUUCUUGAGAGAGUUUUCUUAUAAAGACUCACAAACACAUCUUUGAAGCCUUGCACGAUCUCAUAGACGCAAUUCAUCUCUCUUACCAAAAUCAGUUUCCCUAUUGGAGUUUUGAAAAAUUGAUCUGGCAUUUUGAUUUCAAAAAUAAUUUGAUGUUUAUUCAAAAAUGAUAUUUUUGGCAUUCUACUUGUAGAAUGACAAGUGAAUCAAGCAACUCCAUCAUAGAGGUGACCAAACCCAAAAAAAAAAGAGAAUAAAUACCCUUACCCUAUGACUCUUGAAUCAUGUGUUUUUAAAUGUAUGAAUAAUGAUAUGUAGUGAACUUGUUGCUCAUGACUCAUGGAAUACAUCUUUGCAAAGACCAAACCAUCAUACUAGAUGAGGUCAAAGUUUAUUGAUCAUAGCUGCUUGUGCUUGAAAUGAGGAAAGGCCAUCUUUGUUAUUCCUUUCACGUUCUGACAUAAAUACAUCCCUUGCAAUCCUUUUUUUGAGCCUGAAUAAUUUUUUUUCAUAAAACAAAAUCCCGACUAAGGUCACACCCAACACUGGGGGCAAGUGAAAUUUCAAUGAUCAAGAAAGAUGAUAAAGCCGUGAGAAAGCCAAAAGGCAAAAAGAGCCCAAGAAACUCAAAUGCUAGGGGGCAUGCCUAAAUAAAAAAAAAUUAAUAACUAAGAUAAAGUGAGUAUGCUCUAGCAAAGCAAUGAAAAAGAAAAAAAUAAGUAGCAAAUUGACACGACUAAAAGCUUGAUGUCUUUUCCCAAGUGCAGGAGUGUCGAAGUAAUAAAUAGCCCGGCAAGACCGGGGUCGAACCAUAGAGAGGUUAAUUGUAUAAAUUAUAAAUAACAAGACAACAACAACAACAAUAAUAAUAAUACUCAAUACGUGGCGUUGUUAUACCUGAGAAUGAUCUAAAGAUCGGGUCACAGGUUUCCAGCCUAUAUACUGAGUUUAUGAAAAGAUCAAAUAUAUAUAUUAUAUAAUAUAAACAGAAUGUAAAUAAUAAUAAUAAUAAUAAUAAUAAUAAUGAAAGCAGAAGAUGAAGAAAUUAAUGAGAACUUUGAGAUGAAAGAUUAACGUAAGGAUUAAACAAUGAUAAAAACAAAUGUCAAGGUUAGAGGAUCCACUAAUGGUACUUCAAACAAGUAUAAUAUAAACUCUUAUUACUCAAUUGAAAACCACACAUAAAGGAGGUUCCAUUCAUAUUAUAAAUUGUUAACAUGAUUACGUUAGUUAUCUUAUUCGAAUAAAGCUAAUACUUGUAAAUGUUGGCAGGCAUUCAUGAUUAUAACUUAUGUUAACAACAAAUCAAGUUCCUUUCAUAGCUCAGGUGUCGGUUAUACCAUACAGUAUGAGCUAUGAAAGUGCCAAGUAUUUGUUGUACCAAGUGUUAUACAAUAUAAAUCUAGAUUAACCAUUUAAUCCAAUGUGCAACCCACAAUCAUAUGUUAAAGUGUGUGUGUGAAAAUGAAGGUUUAAUAAUACUUGUUAAAUGAGUAUAGGAGCAGAAUCAAGUGAUAACAAUGUGAGAGUUUGUAAACCUGAAUAUUUCAAGAAGUAUUAUGAUAGACCUUGGUAAUGAAACUUACUAAGAUGCGUCUCUAGAGUCAAUAAAAUUGAUUCCAUACUCUGCCAUCCUAAUAACAAUUUUGUCAAAUGGUUUUAAUAAUAGCAAAAACAAUUAGCAAGUUAGUAUUUUUUUUUUUAAACUACUACCCUCUCCCCCUAACCAAAACGAGACAUUGUCCUCAAUGUUCGAAGGUAGAAAGAUAGAGUAUAGAAGACAUCACCUGAAACAGCGAACAAUGACAAACCUGAAACACACUUAAAUAAACAUAAGAAGUAACAAAACAAAAUAAUAUGCUAUUAAUAAAACCAAAAGACACAAGGUUUCACAGAUGAAGGCUCAAAUCUAAUCUAAGCUUUUUACGGCUUUCCUUAGUUGACCAAUCUAGGCGACUCAUGCAGGGAUCAAUGACAGGGAUGAAAGAUUGUAGUUGGUCAAUCAAUUGUUCAGCAGUAGCAGCAGAGAUUAUGAUUUGUCGUGCCGAAGAUGUUAGAAAUUCCUGUUCCACAGCUUGAUCAAGGAAAGACAGCAACUUAUCAUAAAAACCAUUAACAUUUAACAAACCUAUAGGUUUAUGGUGAAUGUGCAGUUGGGCCCAAGAUGAAAUAUGAAAGAUCUCUUCCAAUGUGCCCAGACCACCUGGUAAGGCAAUGAAGGCAUCAGCAUGGUUAAACAUGGUAUUCAGUCGGUCAGACAUUGUUGGGACCUGUAGUUCUUCUCCAAUUGUUUUUCCAAUGAUGUCCCCAUUUGCUAAAGCUUUGGGGACAACCCCCAAAACUUGACUGCCUCCCAAAAAUGCAGCCAUUGACACACCUCCCAUUAACCCAAGGCUACCUCCCCCAUACACUAAAUGAAUCUUUCUCUCAGCUAGUACCCGACCAAGAUGAUUUGCUGAUUCUAAAAACUCUUUUUCUUUCCCAGAACUGGAUCCACCGAAAACACAAAUAUUUCUUAUAUGAUGACUUGAGGAACCUGCCAUUUCUACACACUUCUAUAUUUGAUGAAUAUAUGGGAUGAGUAGAAAUGAAGGGAAGGAAGAGAAGAAUUUAUAGAUGAAAAAGUGAAAAUGCAAUCAUACCACCUAUAUGUAGGCCAGCUGUAGUCUCACAAACUCUCUCUCUCUCUCUCUCUUUAUUAAUUAUUUAUUUUGAAAAAGCAUGUAUGUACAGGUAGUUGUGAUUGUGGCUCACAUCUUCCCUUGGUUUUACGUCCAAGAACGGCUUAAACGCCCUCUAUGGGUCGGGGAUAGGCUUCCCAUCCAGUUUUCUUAAAAACUGGCAAACAGGGUCUUUUUUAGUCAGAUUCCCAAGACUAAGUCGAUCAUGUUCUUUAUGGAAUUGUGGCCAUAAAUCAUGAAUUACACGAUGCACAUCUCCACUAGGAUGCGUCUCAAGGGUCAACAAAAGAUUAUCUAAAGACCCCUUACUCAGGCCAUCCUUAAUGAAUUGUAUCUUAUCUUCACGGUUUACAGAUACCAUUCCUAAAGAACGACAUGUUGCAUUACAAGUCCAUCUGGCACAUCUGUGACAGACUUUCAGUCGUUUUGCACGACGUUUCUUUGCAAAAGUGCUUUUACCUGUUCCAGGCAUGUGUGAAAUGAAAGAAUUGGAGGACUCACCUGAUAAUCGGACCUUUGCUUCAAUUAGCCAGCGAAUAUCUUCAGGAAUUCCAUGAUUCAUUAACAACCGUAAUCUUUCACACCUAGCACGAUAAAUUUUAUUAAUCGCAUUUGGAGGCAAAGCGGGAAAAUACCUUUUCAACUUUUCAAGAGUGGUGUCCAUUUUCAAAAGAGAAUUGGAGAAGAGAUUCAAAGAAGGGAGAAAGAGCUAAGAAUUGUACAAAUAUAUACAGAUAUCAGUUAUUUGGGAAACUGAAAGAACCGACUUAAGUCACGGAGUACCGUUAUCCGCCAUUUGACCGGGGUGAAAGAGAGACUAGCAAAACAAUAAAUACAACAAAACACAAAACAAUGUGAGAAAAACAAAAUAAUCAACCUUUAUCUACAAGAUCAUUCAAACCAAUGGAUUCAUUUUCACUAGGAAACUCAUCAAAGUAAGCUUUCAAACGAUGUCUAUUUACCUUCAAAACAUUGUCAUUCUUUGGAUUCUCAAUAUCAAGGGCCCCAUAAGGAUACACAUGUUUCAAAAUAAAUGGACUGCUCCAUUGUGAUCUUAUUUUUUCAGGAAAUAAAUGGAGUCGAGAAUUAUAAGGCAAAACGUUUUGACCAGUAUCAACUUUUUGACAAUUUUCACAAGUUUUGCAGAAUGCAUGUGUGUCCUUGAACAUGGUGGGCCAAUAGAAUCCAGAUUGUAAGAUUUUUGCAAUCGUCCUUUUUGACGAUAAAUGACUCCCACAUGCCUCAGAAUGACAAAGUUUAAUGACACCACUUACCUCAUUGUCGGGAAUGCAUUUUUGAAAUAAUUGAUCAGGACAAUUUUUGAAUAAGUAAGGGUCAUCCAAAUAAAAGAGUUCUUCACUUGUUCAAAAACUUUCCUUUGUCUUCGAUACUCCAGUGAGCUGGCAAAUCUCCUGUUGCAAGAAAAUUGAUAUUUUUAGCAGACCAAGGCAUUGAACAAUGAGAAAGUAAGGAUUCGUCAGGAGAGUAAGCAUCGAUUGGUGGGAUGUCAGAUGUCAAAUCUGUUGUCACUCUUGACAAAAGAUCGGCAUCAAUAUUUUUGGUGCCUUUUUCAUCCGUGAUUUCUUCCUGAGAAUAAAUCAUUUUCAAAUCUUCAGAUUUAUCCAACUCAAUUUUACUCAAAGUAGAUUCAAGUUGAUCAUGAACUAAUUCUUCAAUAAGAUCUACUUCUUGUAAAUCAUUAUCAUCUCCAGGUUGCUUGCAAAUGUUGAAAAUAUUCAUCUCCAAUGUCAUGUUUCCAAAUGAUAGCUUCAUCAGUCCAUUCCUACAAUUAAUCAAUGCAUUAGAAGUUGCAAGAAACGGACGUCCUAAAAUAAUAGGAAAUGAAUUACAUGCUUCAACAGGUUGCGUGUCCAAGACAAUAAAAUCCACAGGAUAAAUGAAUUUAUCGACUUGUACUAACACAUCUUCAAUUAUUCCUCUAGGCACUUUUACAGAUCUAUCGGCAAGUAAAAGAGUUACAGAGGUUGGUUUUAACUCACCUAGAUUGAGACUCUGAAAAACUGAAUAUGGAAGUAAAUUCACACUAGCUCCAAGAUCAAGUAAGGCUCUUUCAAUUUUAUGUUCUCCAAUAAAGCAAGAAAUUGUAGGACAACCAGGGUCUUUAUAUUUCAAAGCAUUAUUGUUCUGAAGAAUGGCACUUACUUGUUCGGCUAAAAAGGCUUUCUUUUUCACAUUCAGUUUUCUCUUCACAGUGCACAGAUCUUUCAAAAAUUUAGCAUAGGAAGGAACCUGUUUAAUAGCAUCCAACAAAGGUAUAUUGAUCCUUACCUGUUUGAAAAUUUCAAAGAUUUCAGAGUUGUGAUUGACUUUCCUUUGUUUGGUCAUGGCAUGAGGAAAUGGAAGUGCUGGCGGGGAAUCAGCCUUUUCUUUGCAAUGUUCAGGUUCAACCCCUUCCUUACCCUCAGAGAUAGACUCAUCAUCUUUCUCACAAGGUUCAAGAAUAGGUUUUUCAAUAACCUUACCACUACGAAGAGUGAUGACUGAUUUGACUUGAUCCAUGUGUUGGCUUCCAGAACUACUUGCAUUUGCAUUGUAUUGCCCCUUUGGAUUUUGCUGUGGUUGAGAAGGAAACUUACCUUUCUCUUGGAAACUGAGAGCAGAUGUUAAUUUUGCAAGAGCAUCUUUAAAAUCGGUCAUGCUUUGAGCAAGUUGAGUGUUGAUUGUCUCCUGCUUUUCAAUGAAUGCAUGCAAUGUUUCCUCAAAUUUCUUCUAGGAGGUGGAGCAUAAGGAGGUGCAUAUCCAUGAGAAUUUUGGAAAUUAUGGUGUGCUUGAAACGGUGGUGUGAAGUUUGUGCAUUGUUGCUAUCACUCUUCCAACUAAAAUUUGGGUGAUUUCUCCAACCAGGUUAUAUGUUUGUGAGUAUGGGUUAUGGUUGGGUCUUUGGAAACUGUUUAAAGCAUGGGCUUGUUCAUGGAGGCAUUCCUUGAAAGAAGGCAAAGUUGGACAAUCUUUGUUGUGCUCAUUUGUUUCACAGAUUUGACACACAAUGUCUUGAACAGAUUUUAAUUGACCACUCUUUUUAAUUCUAGUGCCUCGACUUUUCUAGCUAAAGAUGCAAACUUGGCUUGGAGGUCAUGAUCUUCCCUAAGGUUGUGCAUACCUCCACUAGAUGUAUGAGGUUGAGUUUUACUUGGUGCCUCAUAAGUACCUGUGGUGUCCCAAUUUUGAGCAUUUUCGGCUAGCAAGUCUAGGUACUCCAUUGCUUCAUUAGGGUCUUUAUCUUCAAAGGUUCCAUUGCACAUCAAUUCAACCAUUUGCCUAUCUCUAGGUGUUAAACCUUCAUAAAAAUGUGAAACCAAUCUCCAUGUUUCAAAACCAUGAUGUGGGCAAGUAUUAAGCAAAUCUCGAUACCUAUCCCAACAUUGGUAAAAUGUUUCUCCUGGCUUUUGAGUGAAAGUGAUGAUUUGUCUUUUGAAAGAGUUUGUUCUGUGAGAUGGAAAAAACUUCUUUAAAAAUUGUUGUUGCAUAUCAUCCCAAGCACGAAUGGAUCCUGGUCUCAAAUUUUGUAGCCAUGUUUUAGCUUUAUCUUUUAAUGAAAAAGGAAAAAGCUUUAAUCGAAUGGUGUUCAUGCUACAAUUUGAGUCAUUAUAGGUAUUACAGACCUCCUCAAAUUCCCUUAAAUGCAAGUAUGGAUUUUCUAAGUCUAAGCCAUGAAAAGAUGGUAAAAGUUGAAUAAUGCCUGGCUUAAAAUUAAAAUGAGAUGCAUCAGGAGGGAAAACUAUGCAUGAGGGUGCACUUGUUCUUGUGGGAUUCAUGUGGUCUCUAAGUGUUCUCAUACGGUUAUUCUCAUUAUUCUCAUUAUGAAGUGAUUGAUUAUCUUCUUCGGCCAUAUUUUCUGAAAAUGAUGAGGAUACCCUACAAAGUCUACCACUUAAUGUACGUGACCAAACUCUCAUGCACGUGUAAGAAGAGAAUAAAAGCAAGAAAAGAAAAUAGAAGAAAAAGAAACAAAACAAAACAAAGGAAACAAAAAUAGAUAAAAUGAAAAGUGAAAAGAGAAAAUAAAUUAAAUAUUAUAAUUUAUACAAGAAUUUACCUCCCCGGCAACGGCGCCAAAAACUUGACACGACCAAAAGCUUGAUGUCUUUUCCCAAGUGCAGGAGUGUCGAAGUAAUAAAUAACCCGGCAAGACCGGGGUCGAACCACAGAGAGGUUAAUUGUAUAAAUUAUAAAUAACAAGACAACAACAACAACAACAACAACAAACAACAAUAAAUAACAAUAUAAUAAUACUCAGUACGUGGCGUUGUUAUACCUGAGAAUGAUCUAAAGAUCGGGUCACAGGUUUCCAGCCUAUAUACUGACUUUAUGAAAAGAUCAAAUAUAUAUAUUAUAUAAUAUAAACAGAAUGUAAAUAAUAAUAAUAAUAUAUAAUAAUAAUAAUAACAGAAGAUGAAGAAAUUAAUGAGAACUUUGAGAUAAAAGAUUAACGUAAGGAUUAAACAAUGAUAAAAACAAAUGUCAAGGUUAGAGGAUCCACUAAUGGUACUUCAAACAAGUAUAAUAUAAACUCUUAUUACUCAAUUGGAAACCACACAUAAAGGAGGUUCCAAUCAGAUUAUAAAUUGUUAACAUGAUUACAUUAAUUAUCUUAUUCGAAUAAAGCUAAUACUUGUAAAUGUUGGCAGGCAUUCAUGAUUAUAACUUAUGUUAACAACAAAUCAAGUUCCUUUCAUAGCUCAGGUGUCGGUUAAACCAUACAGUAUGGGCUAUGAAAGUGCCAAGUAUUUGUUGUACCAAGUGUUAUACAACAUAAAUCUAGAUUAACCAUUUAACAAGCAAAGUAUUAAAGUGAACAAGAUAACAAAUAUAAAACAUGUUAGUAUCCAACGUUAAGGUCCAUGUUAAGUUUAUAUUAUACUUGUUCUUACACCAUUAGUGUACCCUUUUCACCUUGACAUAAUUAACUUAGCUAGACAUAAUAAAAGAAAGAAACAUAAAUGAGCAAGACAAGAACAUAAAUGAGAAAGAAGUUAACUAGACAAAGGAAAGGAAAUGAAGUGCAUAAACUUGAUAUUAAUGAAAGCAAGACAUAAGCAAUACAAAGAGAGAAAGCAAGAGCAUGAUCUUGAUCUGAACACCAAGAUGCCUCAAUACAUGGUAAGUGCCUCCUUUUAUAGGCCAAAAUUUGGAACUAUUGAUUUGUUGACUAAUUGAUGAGUGGGUGGCCACAUCUUGACUAGAUAACAAUCCUUAUCUUCUUGUCUGAUCAAGACGUCAUUGCUAACAUCAUAAUUUGCCCAGAAUCCUCAAGAAUGUUCUAGGAAAUUGUCUCAGCUUUCCAACAAAAAAAAGAUGAGGUCAUUUGGACUUCUAGAACUCAAGAUAUGGGCUGAACACUAAAUAGUGUUUGGGCUAUAGGACAGCUUCGGACUUCUUCGUUGUUCCUUUCAUUUGGACUUCAAAAAGACCUUUUCAAAUCUUGGGCUCCUCAUGAAAGUUGUAGGCCUUUGUCUUACCUUUCCAUCCAUAUAAAGUGGACCUAAAUCAGAAAUCUAGAGCUCCAGAUAUGAUCCAAUUACUGAGCAAUGUUCCGGUUUGGACUGCACCGACAUCUCUUUUCUAAGUUUGGUCAUCUCUUUGUCCUUUAACUUUCAAUGCUUAAACUCAUCAAUCAAUCCUUUUAUUUAUGUGAUAGUCCUGCAUUUAAAAUGAGUAUUUACCAUAAAUUAAGGUAUCUUAUAAUAUCAAACUUGUUAUUAUAAAACAUGCUUUAGUUAAGGAGUUAUUGAUACUUCAAGUGCAAAAUGAUGAUAUAAAACCUUGAUAAACAUGCACUUUUAAGUACUAAUCACAAAUCAAAAAAGAGUGGCAAAAGAAAAUAUGAAUGACAUCAAUAGUCAAACUUUUGAUAGUGAUCCUCGGUCUUUGAAGCCCUGAAACACUCUUUAAGCCUUAUGAAUCAUUUUCUUUCAUAGCCAAAAACCACAGCCUACGUUACGUGCCUGUAGAAGUCCUUUCUAAUCAAGCAAGCAAGCAAUCUAGAACAAUAAACAAUGCUCUCAAAAUGCAAAGAAUACGUUUUCAUAAGAUUCAUGACAUCAAGAAUAAACUACUCAUUAUUAUUCAUGCUAAUAAAAAUAAAUGUUCAAAAAGAGACAAGUUUUUCUCAUACAAAACCUCGAGCUUUUUCUCGAGCCCUCCACUCUGAAAACUUAUAAAAACAAAAGGUCAUAAUAUCAUGACAUAUUUUCACCAAAGACCUCAUUGCCAAACACAAGAGCAAAUAAUCUCUUUUCCAAGAAAGAAAAUAACCAAGGAGUUGCAAGAUUUCAAAAGCAAAUUGUUAUUGGACUCACAUCAAAAUAAUUUUUGUUUUCAAAAUGCAAGAUCAAGAUUUCAAGAUUCAUUCUAGACCCAUAUUCCUCCACCAAACUGAAAAGGAGAUAAAUGAGAGAAUGGCCUCUUAAAACCUUUAUUUGUCUAAGUCGCUGACAGAAGCACACUUAAGGCCAAUAACCAAUACAAGGGGGAAACAUUGUGUUUAGAAGGAAAAAUUCUAGAAAAGGAGAUGGCAAUUUCCUACAACCAGACAAGGGGGCAUUUUGGUUUACAAAAGACAGCUCGAUCCUUUCAGUAAGUGACAUCGAAUGUUUGUAGCAGUGAAACGAGGAGUAAUGAGUGGUCAUCUCAAAUUAUUUGACGAAUCAGAAAAUCUUUAGCAAGCAAGUGGGUCACAAUGGGCACCACAAAUGCUGAAUUAUACAAACAAAUUUGAAAAUAGAUUUUACAUGGGCUAACUCGAGUGGGCUAGAAAGCUAAACGACAAAGAUAACUUAAAUCAGAUAGCAAGAUCUCACCAACCAAUCAACAAGAAGAUUGUGAAGAAAUGGGGGUCUAUAUUUCAAAUCAGGUAAAGAUAUAUGCAUAUCAUCUAAACUUUGAGAUAUUGGACAAUGAGUUUUUCAAAUUUCAUAUAAGAAAAUUCCAACGGAAUCUAUCAAGUGGAAGGCCAACUUGAAAUGGCCAAAGAUCGAAAUUGCUGUUGAAAAUUUUCACUUUUGAGAAUUUUUCAACCUGGGCAGGCCGCCCAUGAGAAUUAGGCCACCUGAAAAAUCUCUCUAUUAUUCCACCACCUUUCAGUUUCCACUCCUAAGGUAGUUCAUUUCCUAUCCUACCUCCUUUUGAGUUCUUUUCGAGCGCGCCUUCGAGCCCUCGACCAUCAUAGGUAGUGCAUUUCCUAUCCUACCUCCAUUUGAGCGCGCCUUCGAGCCCUCGACCAUCAUAGGUAGUGCAUUUCCUAUCCUAUCUCCAUUCGAGCGCACCUUUGAGCCCUCGUCUUAUCUCCAUUCGAGCGCGCCUUUGAGCCCUCGACCAUCAAAGGUAGUGCAUUUCCUAUCCUACCUCUGUUCGAGCGCGUCUUCAAGCCCUCGUCUUAUCUCCAUUCGAGCGUGCCUUUGAGCCCUCAUCUUAUUUCUUUUCGAGCGCGCCUUCGAGCCCUCAUCUUAUUUCUUUUCGAGCGCGCCUUCGAGCCCUCAACCAUCAAAGGUAGUGCAUUUCCUAUCAUACCUUCUUUUGAGUGCGCCUUCAAGCCCUCAUUUCCUUCAAGCUUCCAUCUAUUGAAUAAUGCGCCUUCGAGCCCUAUCAUGUCUUAUUUAAAAAAAAAAGUCCUCGUAUUUUUCCACUGGGCAGGUAACCCAUUACAAUGUGACCAACUGGGCCGGUAACCCAUUACAAUGUGACCAUCUGGGCUGGUAACCCAUUACAAUGUACCAUCCUGAAAAAUCCUCGUAUUUUUCCACUAGGCAGGUAACCCAUUACAAUGUGACCAACUAGGCCGGUAACUCAUUACAAUAAAUCAUCCUAUAUUAGGCUGGUAACCCAUUACAAUAUACCACCUUAUACUGGGCAGGUAACCCAUUACAAUAUACCAUCACAAAAAAAAAAAUUCCUCGUAUUUUUAUUCUUCAUCGAGCAGGUCACCUGGAACAAUUAGACCACUCAUGAAAUUCUUCACGUUUCUUUUAUCAUUGGGCAGGUUGCCCAAAACAAUUUGAUCCAUUUCAAAAAAAAAAAAACAAAAAAAAUAGUUCGUCUCCCAAAUGACUUGUUUCUUGAUUUCUACAUCUCUCUGUAAAGGUCAUGUGUCAAUCUACUGUUUUCAAAACUAAAAAAUAAAAAAAAGAAGCAAAAGUUCUUUCUUUAUCUAAUUUUCUUUAUAAAUUUACUACACAAAGCUAAAAGAAAAUGAAAUUUUCUAAUAUCGUUGCAUAGUAAAUAUUAUAAAGAGGGGGCAACUGUCAUAACCCAAUUUUGACCUUUUUUAUUUAUUUUUUAUUUUUUAUUUUUUUAUUAUUUUAUUUUUAAAAAAUGAUGAAAAACAAGUAAAAAUAAAAUAAAUGAAGAGUGAAUUAAAAUUUGGGUUAAGGACAACACGAUUGGAAGUUUAAAAAUUUAAUUAAACUCUUGACUAGUUUAAUUAAUUAAAUCAAGGGCUUAAUUGGAGAAUUGAUUUAAUUAAAAUUUAGAUGAUUUUUAACUAAUGAAAUCAAGAGUUUAAUUGAAGAAUUAAUGAGUUUGAGGACUUAAUUAAACUUUGAUUUAAUUAAUUAAAGGAAUCAGGGGUGUAAUUGAAGAAAUACCAAAGUUUGGAGCUGAUUCAAGGAAAAAUUGCUAUAAAAUUAAAGUCCAAGGACCAAAUUGAAUAGUCCAAAAACCCAGGACUGUUGUGUAAAUGACACUAUAAAUCAAGGAUUCAAUUGAAUUAAUCCAAGGGUACAAAUAGAAAUUGAUUAUUGAUGAUUAAGAUCUCAAUUGUGAAGUUUAAAACGUCCAGGGACCAAAGUGAAAAAAUACCUCAAGCACACAAACGACGCCGUUUGCAAUAAUACUGUUCGUCAUCCCUUCCAUUUCGCCAGGGCAGCCGAUUCAACAGGAAAAUCAGUGCAUCCGAUUCAACAGGCCAUGUCUUCUGCCACGAUCCCGGUCGUGAAGGAGACGGUUUUUGAAGAUCUCUAGCCUUAUAAAAAAGGGGUGAAGAAACAGAACGCAGAGGGGGGGACGAGGAUCUGGAGCUAAAAAAAACAGAGCAGAAAUACAGAGUAAAAAAAAAAACACAAAUUCACAGGGAGAGGAGGAGAGUCAGCAACAGAGGAGAAAAAAAAAGGAAGAAAAACUGGAAAACUGGUGGAAAAAAGACCAGGAGACAGAGGACGAGAAAAAAAACUGGGAAAGGAAGAACUGCGAAAAAUCAAGGAGCAGAAACAGAGACCGAAACCAGAGGGAACAAUAGCCGAAAACCAGAGACAAAACGGAGAGGCAGAUAACAAAACAGGGAGAACGAACAAGAGGGAAACACACAGUGAGGAGAAUUAUCCUUGAAAUUGUCCUCGUACCUGCAAACAAAGAAAAAAACCGGCAUCUUCUUUGUAGUUUGAAAAGCUACUGAGAAAUCAAGAAGGAAAGCACAGACAAGGGAUCACAGCGGGGAGAGAAUAGAAAGCAGUCGAACGAGAGCAGCAGCCACCAGCAUCGCAGCCUUCUUCAUCGUCUCCAGAAGCAGGUAUGACUUCAUCCCCUUCGUAUCUUCAUUUCAAAAUGCAAUUGUUAAUGUUACAAGAACACUGUGUGAAGGUAAUUUAAUUAAUUACCUUCACACAUUGUUCGUGCAUGCGUGAACAAUUCACGCGUGUUUUUAUUUUUUUGGCCCAGUCGGUCACUGGCUUGGGCUAGUGACUGGGCUGGGCUGGCUGGGUCUAGCCCAGCCCAAAAUAUAAAUAAAAUAAUAUAUAAUAAAAAUUGUGUAUGUAAAAAAAAAAUAUAUGAAUUUAUUGUUUUUUUUUAUUCAUUGAUGUCAGAGUCACAAUAAAAAUACCAAUUCAAAUUUAUUUCAUUGUGUUUUAUUAAGUUAUAUAAGAAUAAAAAAUGUGCGUGCAAAAAAAAUAAUAUAAGAUAAAAUAAAAUAAAUUUAUUUGGUAUAUUCACUGACGCCAGAGUUAGGAAUAAAAAAUACUAAUGUAAAUUUAUUUUAUUUUAUUUUUUGUUUUGUUUUUAUUUAGCUACAUUAAAAAAUAAAAAUAAUACGUAUGCGUACAAAAUAAAUUGAUUUUUUAUUUGUUUAUUCACUGACGCCAGAGUCAGGAAUAUAAAAAAUAAUGAUUUAAAUUUAUUUAUUUUGAUACCUAUGUAAUAUUUACCAACACUAGAGUCGGAAAUAUCCGUAGUUGAAUAAAAAUAAUGCGUAUGUGUAAAAAAAUUUAAUUUUUAUUUGUUUAUUCACUAACGCCAGAGUCAGGAAUAUAAAAAAUAAAUGAUGAUUUAAAUUUAUUUAUUUUGAUACCUACGUAAUAUUUACCAACGCUAGAGUUGGAAAUAUCCGUAAUCGAAUAUUCACUGGCGCUAGAGUCAGGAAUAUUAUAAGCAAAUUAUCAUAUCGUAAACUAAUAAACAUUUAACAAUUUAAGACGAAACUAGCAAUGCAGCCUGCCUCAGGCAGAACGUUUAAGGGGUGAUAAUAUCUUCCCUUUUACGUAACCAAUCCCGAACCAUAGAAUCUCUGUUAACCAGUUAAGGUUCCUAGUGACCAUAAUACUAGGUGGCGACUCCUUAAACAAGAAUAUCCCCCAUCAAAGAAUAGGAUGCCAGAAAUCCAUUCUUUUCCAAAAAAUUUAAUUAUUUUUAAGGCCGUCGCAAUGUCGGAUGCGACAAACAGGAACUAAAUGAAAGGAGGGACAACGUUUAGGAGUAUGCCCUUGAGUGCCACAUAUCUGGCAAUGGCCCAAAUAAGGACGUGUAGGCAAACAACUAUUUCUGACCUGAUUGGGAAACGUGGCAGGUCGAAAGUUGGCGAUGGAUGGGGAAUGAAAAUUGUUCCCAAUAGGAGAAGAGGAUGGGCGCCAGUUGGUUUUUAAGGGUCGUCAAUUAUUGUUGCUUGAGUUCUUAGUGAAGGAGUUGGCAGUAAUAGUACCAAGACGGGAGAAGUGUGACCGUGUUUAAAGUGAUGCUUCAAACAAGAGAAGCUUCUCAUGUAGUUCAUCAAAGGAGAUAGCAGCUUUGCGAGCUUGGACAGCCCGAACAAGUUCUAUGUAAUCUUCAUCUAAACCGUUGAGAAUUUGUUCAGUAAGAUCAUCAGUGUCCAUGGAAGCACCAAGAACAACAAGUUCGUCAGAUAGUGCUUUGAUGAAGCAGACAAAAUCUGUGAUACUCAUAGAACCUUUUGUGAGAUUAUUUAACUGGUUUUCACCUGGCGGAUACGUCCAUGGGAUGGUUUUGCAUAUGUUGUGGCAAGAACAUGCCAUGCAUCAUGAGAAGAAGUGGUGCGGGCUACCAAGGAGAUAAGUGAAGGAGAAAGGCUGCCAACGAUGGCAUUCAAAAGGAGUUGAUCUUGCCUAACCCAGAGACUAUAUGCAGGCUUAGGAACAGUGAUAUCAUCUGUUAUAAGAGUUGGUGAAGGACACAAUUUUGAGCCAUCUAUGUAACCAAGGAGAUCAUAGCCAAUAAAAAGUGUUUCAAACUGAAUUUUCCAGGAAGCAUAGUUGGAAGAGGUGAGUUUGAGAGGAGCUUGAGCAGCUGUGUUUAUGGUGAUAAGGUGGUUUUCUGUGUUUGAUGGAAUUGAAACCGACAUGGUUAUGGGGAAGAGGGAGGAACAGAACCGAAGAAGAAAGGGAAGAAAAAAAAAAUUGAAUAAAUGAUCAGAGACGCUCUGAUACCAUGAUGGAGCUGAAGCUUUGAAAGAGAAUUGCUUACUGAUAUUAUUAAUAGAAGACAUAUAUAUAAAUACAAAUCCUAACUGAUUUCUAUACUUUGCAGGGAGACCAAUUCUUUAAGAUUACAAACUAUUGCAGCUACCGAGUCCUAAUGAAUAACAAACUGUUAGAGCUAUACAUUGAAUUAUCAUUAACACAGUUCUUAAAAAAGAAGCAAAGAUGGGGUUUGUGAGGGUCUACACAAAACCACAGCACUGUGGCGUUGGUCAUGCUCUACAAGAUGAGGUUGCGGUCUAUUUCUCCUCAGACAUACUCAGCAAUUUCUUGAAGAUUUAAACCUGGAAUACUUUUAGCACUUGAUCUUGCAUCAGGAGAAUGGGUUGGGUAAAUCAACAGAGCAUGCCAUGAUAUAGCUCCAACAGCCAACCAUUAAAAAGUCCAAGUGGUUAGAACUUUGUGGCUUUCGCGUCUCCUAGAACAACUGUUGCUGUCAAAAACCAGGGAAAUGAAAACACAUUCCAAGAUCCUCAUAAUGUUUGAGGUCAUGGGUGACAGUGCAGUGCUGGUAUAUGAAAACUGAUUCAAUUGCAUCCAUCAUUAAUCGAAAUCAUGAACAGAUUGCGUAUUUUGAUUCAGGAUAACGAGACUUUCAAACCAAGAUCUCAAAGUAAUUGUUUUUUUUUUUAUGAAAAGAAAGAGUCUCAUAGGUAGGCAGUCAAAGUUGUUGGCUACUAUAGAAAAUUUUACGAUUUCCACUUUUGUUAUUGAAUUUUAAUUCUAUCUUUUAAUUUGAUAAUUUUCAAUCAAAACUAAUUUUUAAAUUUCUAAUUUUGAUGAUUAUUAUAUUUUAUUUUUACAAUAAAAAUAUUUAUAUUAAUUUAUUGUGAAAAUUUAAUAAAAUCAAUUCAAUUUUUAAUUAAAAUGAAAUAUAUUCACAUUAUAAAACCCUCUCAAUUAUAUUUUAAAGACAUGCCUAUUUAUUUUUUAUUACAAGUGAACUUAUCCUGUGAGGAUAUAUAUAGAAACAAAAAAAAAAUUACCAAUCAAAUUUCACCAUGUGUUAUUUUUAUUUUUACAUAAAAAGAUGAAAUAAAAUAGAUAAAAUAACAUGAAAAAAAUGGACCUUUACAUAUAUUUUGGUCAAUAGAAAAUUGACACAUAAAAUAAGAUAUUUAAUACAUCUUAUUAUAAAUAUAAGAUUUUAUAAAUAAAAAUUAAUUAAUAAAAUAAUAUCAUAUUACAUUUUUUAAUAUGAAAGCCCUUGUAAAUAUUUAUAAAUAAAAGAUCUCAUGCUAGACAAAGAAAGGAGGAAGAUUACUAGAGAUACAAAACUAUUUCAUGAUAAGCUUUUCAAGAAAAAAGAAAAAAGAAAAAAAGAGAACUAUUUCAAAAGCUUUGGAGCUUUUUUUCAUUUUACGGUUGAAAUCUAAAAAAGCAAACCUCUACUUAAUGAAGCCUAAAAUAAUACAAGUUCUAGACCUUUGCAAAACACCACCAAGCGAAAUUGCCAGUACUGCAUUUACCAUGGAAAGCACAAUAAUAAUCAUCCUUUGAUUGGAUAUCAUCAUCAUUUCCUUCCUCUUCAUGCAACCAUUGGACACCAAUCGUCCUUAUUUGAAAAGCUGGAUCUUGUAGACGCACUGAAAUACUCACGUCAUCACCAUUAUCAAAUGCAGGACCAUCGACCCCUAAUUUCAUGUGCAUUAGCGAUUGGAAUUCACGAACACCACGCUUGUAACUCAUAGGGAAGAAAGAGGCUUGACGACGCAAGGAUCGACCACUGGUAUUGUUUCUGAUUUCAAGAUAAACAUGACUAGAGUCACUGUACCCUGACGUCAUACAAAACCUUGAGAACAGAAUAAAGCCACAUAUCCGGUGCGCAGGAGGUGAGGAUAUUUUGAAUGAAAAGUUAUCUACAAACUCAUUCUGAAUUAGCCAUUUAUCCUCUUCUUCCUCCUCGUAAAACCUUGUGAACAGAUUUGCAAGUCUUUGCAGUGAAGAGCAAAAAGACACAUCUAACGAACACAAAUGGGAUGGAAGCUCUGGGAGUGUCUGAAGCAUUUUGCAAUUUCUUAAAUAUAGGUGUCUGAGUAGACCAAGAUCCUUGAUGCUUUCUGGAAGAAAACGAAUUGGAGUUCCACUUAAAUCUAGACUCUCCAAGAAGCGUGGCAUUGAAAACGAGGUAAAUCUCAACAUUUUCCUCGUUGAAAACCUAGAGGGAAAGAAUAGCUUCAAUGGAAGAGAUGAAAUGAAUGAUGUAAUUGCAACAAUUCCAUCACUUUGAAGCAACUUGCGCCCCUGAUGAUGCUCUAACUCCAUAUUUAGGCUAUUAAGAUUUGAGCAACCAUCUAAAACCAGCUCUUGAAGUGAAUUCAAUCUACUCAUUUCUUCUGGAAGCUCCAUAAGACUUGUACAAUUUCUUAGAUUUAAGAUCAACAAUCUUUGUAAAUCACCAAUAGAUUCGUGAAUUUGAACCAAACGGAUGCAGUCUUCAAGUAUUAGCUUUUCAAGGGCUGGGAGACUCGAGAAGUCUGGGGUUCUAAUGAGAUCACGAGCAUGACGGAGAUCAAGAAUUUUCAAUUUUGGAAGAAACUGUUAAAAUACAUGAAUUUAGUUGUUAUCAAUUGAAAACGAGAGAGAUAGCUAUAGAGAGACUUGAUACAUACCGUUUGCCUUUCCAAGCAUCAACUAGACAGCUUCUGGAUAGAUCAAGAACCACCAGCUUCUCCAAGCAUAUGUGAUUUGGUAUGGAGCUCCAAGACAAUCCAUGCCAACAUAACCAUAUCAAAUUCUUGGGAAAGUGCUCAAAACUUCCAUGAAAAUUAGUGUAGUUUAGCUGGAGAAAUUUUACAUCUGGCAUCUUUCUAAAAGCAUCCGUGCUAAGGAUGGGAAACAAACUUGUUUGGCUAGUUUGUAAUUUUUCCCCAUCGGGAAAAUCGGAAAGCCAUUGUUGAAAGAAGUUAAGCCUGCGGCGCUUGCGACAAACCAUUGAAUCAGUACAGACAACUUCUGCAUAAUGAUAUUCCAUUAAUGAAUGCAUAUCAAUGGUAAGGCCACGCAUUUUUUCAGCAUCCUGCAUAAUAAUAUUAAAAGUACAUGAGAAAGGAAAGUAGAUGAAUGAAUAUGUCAAGGCACCACAAACCAUUUAAGUAGACAUUUAAAAAAAUUUAGCUACUUACAGUAGUUCCUUUCAAAACUGUAAAAGCAUCCCCAUGAUGCCAUAUUCUUUGCCAUUUGGGUGAUUCUUGACGAGCAAUUUCCCUACCCAUAUCUCUUACUAGUUGAUGCAUCCACAACCUUUGAUCACUGUUGAUUUCAACAAGACAUCUAUCGAUGAGAUUGUCAAUCCCAAAUCUUGCACCUUUAUCGAGCCCAUCCAGUAUCCUAACUGCAUCAUCCACAUCCAUUCCAUUGAAGAAACAUGCGAUAUCAAGGAAUAAGUUCUUGGAUAAUCACCAUCAAGAAAGUCGUAACUUAUUCGAAGAACCUUUUGAACUUCAAAUUAGGAACACUUCCAUUUGUUGUAAUGCGCUUUCCCAUAUUUCUCUUCCUUUUCCGGACAAUGAAGAGCCAAUAACUCCAAGAGCUAAUGGAAGUCCAUUACAAUGAUGUACUAUUCUCCAAGAGUCUUCUACAAAACCAUCAACAGGGUCAGCUUGUCCAAAGGCAUUCCAACUGAAAAGCUCAAGUGAUUUUUUGUUAUCCAAAGGUUCGACUUUGCACUCGAACCACUCAAUAUCAUUAGCUGAAAACAGACCCUUAUUUCUGGUUGUUACAAUGAUUUUACUUCCUUUACGAAGCCAAUUUUGCAUGCCAAUGAUUUUAUUGAAUUGGUCCCUUUUGUCCACAUCAUCUAGAACAAUAAGAGUUCUUCUGCAACAUAAUGCAUCCUUAAUCUUCAGAAUUCCUUCAUCUUCAUCAUUUAUCUCAUCAACAGUCUUUUUUAGGAUGUCGGAAAGAAGUUGCCUCUGUAGGCAAACUAUAUGUUUUGAUCUAAAAUUUGACAGGAAGCUCUUUCCUUCAAAUUCAUAAAAGUUCUGGUUAAAAACACUCUUAACUAUAGCUGUCUUUCCAACUCCACCAAUUCCAUAGAGUAAAGCAAUGGCAGCACCAUGGGAUCCAUCUUGCAACCAUGAGUUGAUAUCUUGUACCAGAGCAUCUCUUCCAAUGAAAUGAAGGGGGACAUGAAAUAUUUUUGGAUCCAAAUUCUUUGAGACAUACUCCACAAUAGAUUGGACAAACUGUGCCUCGUACCUACAUCAAAACGUAAAGUACAAUAUACGAUAAUUGCUAGUCUCUCUAUAAUGGAUAAAAAUAGACAACAUUUAGCUAAGAAAUUAAAGCAGGUUGCAUGUCAAUGAUUGAUAGUUAAAUUUGUAGGUGCGUUAUCACCACCUACUAAAACCAAAUCAUGUUUGAAAAAAAACAAACAAACAAACAAAAGAAGAAAGAAAUUAUAGGUAUUUUUUUCUUUCUUUUAUGUUUUCUUAUCGGUCUUCAUUUAAAUACUUAACUGAAAGAAAUUAAGAGUUCACGACCAGCACUCUAGUCUUAUGCUUUGUGUAUUUUAAUCGAGAGAUGCAACUUACCCAUCUCUUAAAUCCUUUCCAGCUAAAUCUGCAACUUCCUUCAAAGCAAUCCUCCACCCCUUCACCCGCUCUAUCUCCUCGAAGCGCUUUUCUUGUUCCACAAAUGCAGCAGCGAAGCUCCCUGUUUGAUUUCUGACUUCAGAUGGAUUCACAUGGUAGAAUACCGGCAAAACUAUGGAGGCGGCAGUCCUCUUAUGUUCCAUGAUCUUCACAAGUUCAUCGAGGCACCAUCUCGACCGAGCAUAGUCUUUGGAGAACACGAUUAUCGAUAUUUUCGAUUCUUGUAUUGCCUUCCGGAGCUCCAACUCUAUAUUCUCUCCUCUCCGAAUCUCAUCAUCAUCUCUAAAUGUGUGAAACCCCGCUUGAACCAGGGCCCAGUAGAGGUGAUCGGUAAAGUUCUUGCGGGUGUCUUCACCUCUAAAACUCAAGAACACUUGAUAUUUACAAUUAGAAAACCGAGAAGAGUAGGAUUCUUGAUAUUUCCCAGCAGCCAUUUCGAGUCUAGCAAAAUAAGACUUUACAAAGAUCUGGACAGAAAAAAAAAGGAAUUGCAGGAUUAAAGUCGAUAAUUCAAGAUCGACAGCACGCCAAUAAGCUGAAGUGUUCAUAUAUUAUUAUCUUACUUUUUUCUGGAAGACAAUUUUCAAGUUAUUUCCCAGCAAUCAACUCCUCCAUGCCCUUUCAGAAAAAUACUUGCAGAUAUGAUAAAUCUCUAUGCUGAACCAACAAAAUCGGUUGAUGAGAUCAUCAAUAAUUAGUUUCUAAUAGUGAAUUAAUCGAAGUGAUUCUCAGUUACAGCAGAGUUACAUUUCACAAUAUAACAUAAUACUUAAAAGAGAUAAGAGAGAGGGAGAGAGUACCUGCAAUCUUCACUUUCCCUUCGCUGAUGUUCUGUUAUCAGUCCAUCAACUUUCUGCUUUCAAGUCAACCUCACAAGUCUCUGGGGUCUGGGUCAUUUCCGCGUUAGGACCAUUUUCUUUUUUUAUUCUUUUUUUUUAUUUGCUCAAAUCAUUUAUCACGCGUGGAGUAUAAUUACCAAAAGCGACAUUAGAGACACUCACACAAACACAAUCCCUUUCAUUAACUCACACGGUUCUUCACUUCUUCUCACUUCACCCACCAGUAUCAUCAAGGCAGUUGGUCAGUUGGUCAGUUGAGUCUGAAAUAAAAAAAAAAAAAAUUUAGUGAUUUUAUAUUUGAAUUAUUAAUUACUAAUAUAAUAGCACUAAAAUUUUUAAUUAUUUUUAUUUCAGCAUAUUAAAGAAAAAAUAAAAAAAUAUUUUUUAAAAAUAUAUUAUUAAAACGAAAAACUAAACAAACUUUUAAACACGGAUAUAUUACAUAUCAUACACAGAGUUCUGAUUAUUUGAAUCAUUGGCAGAGGCAGGGAUGGCAGGAGGGGAAGUUGCUUGUUACAUCUUUGUGUAGAUUUCUUCCCCACGACUUUCCUGACCUUCUUGUUCUUUAGGAUUUUUCUUCCCACAUAUAUUAAGAGCACCCAUGGGUCGGGCCAAUCUUACAUUAAUUAACUAUAUAUAAUUAAUGUGUAUAAUUUCUUUUGCAGUGCUUUGUCUUACUUCCAGCGCAAUAUUCCUUUUUCUUUCUUUCUUUUGUGAAAUCCAACACAUCAAAUUAUGUUAAAUUAAAGUCAAUUUUGUAAGACAAUUUUGCAUCAUUUGAAUUGAUUCUAGCUUUUUCUUUCUGUUGAAAGUCAAGUGUAUAUAUAAACAAAGAAUUAGUCGGAAGUUGCUGAUUACAGGAUCAUUGCCCCGAAAUUUGCAAUAGCUUAGCCAUAACAAUUCAGAUUUUUCGGCCAAAUAUUAUAUCGAAAAAUUGAGGGGUAAAAAACCCAGACUCUACCCUUCGUAUUGUUUCUGAUUUCAAGAUAAACAAGACGAUAAGGAUUGCAUACUGACAUAGUAGAAAACCAUGUGAAUAGAUCAAAACCACAUAUCCGGUGCGCGGCGGGUGAGGAUAUUUUGAAUGACAAGUACGUACUCUACAAACUCUUUCUACAGUAGCCACUCCUGUUCUUCCUCCUCGUGAAACCACCUUAACAUCUCAUUUUCAUCAUUUUUCAAUAUGGUUCAAAUAAAAGAAGUUUAUUUAGUUAACCAAACAAAAAUAUAAGGGAGUUAUUAAAUUUUUUUUCUUUAUACCAUCUAAAUAUUUUACACAAAAAAUAAUACGUACCGGAACGUAGCGGGACCGGAACGUAGCGGGAGAAGCAUCCUAGCCAAAGCUAACUAAUGAUGUCCAUGAAGCUCUUACUUGGGUCUCGAAAACCAUUGCAAGCGACACCUUUUUGAAGCUCAGAAAAACAAACAGGCGGAAGUGAAAUGGUACGAAAUAACAGGGCAUUCAUGAUGAAUUAUGACCUUAGGUAAAGUUAAAGCUCUUUCUUUUUCCUUAGAAUUGACUAGUUGCAGUGUAUUCUCAUUAAAGCACGACAGAGGAAAGAUGAAUGGAGAAAUUAUCUCCAUUUCACACUGCUACUUUCUCGAGAACAAUCAUCUCCAGGAAGAAAAGUCUUUUCCGAGGAUCAAUCAGUCAAUUCCUUCAAAGAUUUGUAAUGGUUACAAGGAGAGACAGUAACAAUGUCGGUCGACGUAUCAGCUCGCUAGGAGGCUGAUCCCAGGAGCGGAUGGUUUACAUGAAGGGUGGCGGGGCAUGGCAUCCCAAAACUUUAGAAUUUCUUACAUUUUAGCCCUAAAAUUUUCAGCUUUUUAGUUAUACCCUUUAAUUUAACAUGUUUUGCUUCCAAAAGUGUCCCACCGAUCUAAUUGUCCACAGCAUAUCAACUGGUUCAUUCUGUCUGAGUAAUUAAUCCAGGAACCACUUUCAUGAUCAAAUGCAACAUGGAGGCAGGCAAAUGAAAAGAAUCGAGUCACGAGAGCAUAAAAUGUGAUGCGUUAGAGCUAGAUUAUAUAUCUCCACCGUAAUACAGGUAUACAACGAGAAAUUAUUGGAUGAACUAAAUUCACACAGAUCAAACCAGUUGCAGAAGUUCACUGCACAACCGCUAAUAAUCAAGGAUUCAUAACAUUAAUUCACUAUUUUGAUUUACAUAAUGUUUACGAGUUUUAUGAAUAAAAAGAUUCAUCAUAAACAUUUGUUCAACGAAGAUUCCACCCUUUAGACAUCCCUCGUCACUAUACAAAAAUUUCCUAUAUAUGUAGCCCACUUAAUUUGUUCAAUUGCUGUCCAUUCAAAAAGAUAAUUUAGAAGAAAAUUAUAAAAAAAACAAAAACAAAAAAAACCAUGCGAAGAAAUAUUAUGACAAUCAAUAAUGUUUUAUAAAAAAAUUAUAAAAAUAAAUUCUCAAUCAACUCAAUAUAAAAAUAAAAAAAUUUGGCAAAUAUAAUUUUAAAAAAUAAAAUAGAAAAAUUAUGUGAAAAAACACCGUAGCAAUCCACAGUAUUUUAAAGGAAAAAAAUUACAAAGCAAAAUUUUUAACUAACUCAAUAUUUAAAAAGUAAAAUCAACAAAGAUAAUUCAAAAAAAAAUGAAAAAAAAAGAAAAAAAAGGAAAGUUGGAAAGAGAAAAAAGGAAAGUAAUUUUGGAAAAAAAGGAAACAUUAAACAAAAAAAAAAGGAAAAAGGGAAAGUUGGGAAAAAAAUGCAAAAGAAAAAAAACAGAAAAAGUUAAAAAGAGAGAGAGAGCAAUGCAUUGUGGAUUACUAUUGUAAUCCACAGUUGGGUGUGAGGGAACAGUGAUUUCCUCACACCCUUUAGUUUUAUGUAUAGUAAUUACAAUUAUUAAUCAGCUUAAUAUUUAAAAAAUAAAAUUAGUAAAGACAAUUUUAGGGAAAAACAUAACAAAACAGAAAAAAAACCUUGUGGGUAAAAACACUGUAGCAAUCCACAGUAAUUUGCGAGGAAACUUACAGUGCUUUCUCCACAUAUUGUAAAUGUAAUUUUUAACCAACUCAAUAUUAAAAAAUAAAAUAAAAUAAAAGAUAAUUUCAAAGAAAAUCAUAAAAAAAACAAAAAAAAACCAUUCGAAUAAAUACUGUAGUAAUCAACAAUGUUUUAAAGAAAAAAAAUUACAAAACUUAAUUCUUAAUCAGCUCAAUAUAAAAAAAAUCAACAAAUAUAAUUUUGAAAAAUACAAAAAUAAAAUAUAAAAAUUAUGUGGGAAAAUACUAUAGCAAUCCACAGUAUUUUAAAGGAAAAAAAAUUAUAAAUGAAAAUUUUUAACUAGCUCAAUAUUUAAAAAGUAAAAUCAACAAAGAUAAUCUUGAAAAAAAAAAUGAAAACAAAGGAAAAGUUUGAAAAAAAAAAUGAAAACGUGCAAAAAAAAAUGAAAAAGUGAAAAAAAAAAUAUACUGUAGAUUACUAUUGUAAUUUUCAGUGCAUUGGGUGUGGGGGAACAGUGAUUUCCCCACACCCUUUAGUUUUAUGUAUAUAAAAAAAUAGACAAAUAUAAUUUUAAAAAAUAAAAAAAAUAAAAUAGAAAAAUUAUGUAGAAAAAUACCGUAGCAAUUCAUAGUAUUUAAAAAAAAAUACAAAAUAAAAUUUUUAAUCAGCUCAAUAUUUGAAAAGUAAAAUCAAUAAAAGUAAUUUUGGAAAAAAAAAUUAAAUGAAAAAAAAGAAAAAAGAGGAAAGUUGGAAAAAAAAAGGGAAAGUUUGAAAAAAAAAGAAGAAAAGUUGCUAAAAAAAAAGUAAAAAUAAAAAAGAAAGAAAUGCAUCAUGGAUUAUUUUGUAAUCUACAGUAUAUUAAAUGUGCGGAAACAAUGAUUUCCCGUACCUUUUAAUUAUAUGUAUAAUAAUACAUCAGUCUUUUUUAUUAUUAUUGAUGAAUUCGAUUCAUCAUUUUACAAAUCAUUUGUGUACUAUUUUUCUUAAUUAUUAUUUUAGUCAGAGAGAAUGAAACAUCCCAUCAAUUCACUUGCGCGAGCAAGAUAGAAAAGACACUAUUCUAAAGUAUUGUAAGCGUACAUAAAGAUGGGUCCCUCAAAUUCACCUUCAAAGGAAUAUAUUCAUUUUAGAGAGUAUAUUCAUCUUAAAGAUGCUUGAAAUUCAAGAUAGCAUGCCCUUAAAAUCAAGCCAACCAUUUUCCCACUGGAUUAGAGGCUUCCAAUAUAAUGAACUAAAAGUUAGACAUUAGCUUUGCUUGGUUAUAUUAUAAAGGUACAAAUAGUGAGCAAGCUAAUGUGUUAGUCCAAAAGGCUAGGAAUCUUCAAAUCUAAAUGAAAUGUCAUCUUCCACAUAUGGAUAGAGAGAAGCCAAAAUGCAAAGCAAUUUCAUGGUAAUUAAUUAUUGCCAAGUAUGGUGGGGGGCUGGCCAUUAUGGCCAUACCACCUGCACUUCAAUGUUGACCCAAACCAGCUUGUUUUCCACUUGGUUUACAUGCAUUGGCUUGAUUUGGACGGUUAAUUUGGGACCUCAAUCGACAACUGGUAUUCAAUUAGAUGGACCAAAUCGUAUAGAUGUGAUAGUUCUAUAUAUGUGUAACAUAUAAAUCGUAUGGCUUCCAGAAAGAAAGAAGGAAAAAAAAAAAAACAUUUGAGAUUUUAACUCUUCAUGGAUAUGAACUUGAAGAAACUCUUCAUAGAAACACAAGUCUUUGAGCGUGAGAUUGUUUUUUUGGUGGGAGAGGAAUCUUCCUUUGAUUGUCAAAGACGAAAGCAUUUAUUCCCAUUUGUUAGAUUUCAGUUAAUAGCUUCCAUUUCCCUUUGUUAGAUCUCUCAAGAGUCAAGACUUGCUUUCCAUACGAGGGAACGCCUUUGUUUUAAAAUACUGAUCGAGUGAUUGACUUUGCCACGAGUUGGAUCGACGUUUCAAAUUUUUGGAGUCUAAUUGCUUGUUACUAAAACCCAGUUAACAACAACAAAUCCUGUAUAUUUGGUUUUGAAUAUGUUUGAACAUGGACUGCCUUUUGUUGAUGAUCAUCUUAAUUAUUUACGAGUGAUGAAAUCUUCAAUUCAUAUCGAGACCUGACAAAAAUAAUCUUAUCAGAUGAGAGUGAGUGUGAAAGUUUUUCUCAAAUUUUUAUUUUUUUUUAGUUUUGCUUAUUACAUUGAUUUUUCUUCCAACACUUCCAAUUAUUAAUCUCAGACAUGUAAAUUUUUUACAUAUUGCAGAGAACGAAUCAUUUUAAUAAGACAGCAAAGUUUGAGUCUUUGAAUCAUUGGCAUUGGAAGGGAUGGUAGGAGGGGAAGUUGCUGGUAUCUGUUUCUCUGAUUCUACUCAUUGGGUUGCCCUGCUGGACAACAUUUCUGCUGGUGUCUUUAGAAGACAAACUUAUGCCAAGAAAGAGAGAGAGAGUUUCUCAAGUUGGAAAUGCAGAGUGUUUAACUCAGAGUCCUGUCUUGAACUCUGAGGCUGAGAAACAUCAGUUGGUUUCUUCAAUCUGGUACUACAUAUUCGACUUCCUAUCACUGAAGAAUUUUGGAUGGUUAGAUAUCGGGAGGAAGGUUUAUACUCGGGAGGAUGUAUUACAUAUUCGACUUCCUAUCACUGAAAAGUUCUCUGCGAUGAUUCUGAUAAAGCAGGGUCACGAUGGGGAUGCGUUUGAAGAGGGAUGAUAAUAAGAAAUACAAUUUCUUCUGUGUCCUAGCUGCAUAAUCCUCGUCCAUUCCAUUGAAGAAACAAGCAAUAACAAGGAAUAAGUUCUGAUAAUCAUCAUGAGGAGAGUUGUAACUUUUUGCAAGAACCUUUUGAACUUAACAAUUUGGAAUCACUUCCGUUUCAUGUAAUGCGCUUUCCCAUACUUUUCUACUUUCACUAAAUAAUGAAGAACCAAUAGCACAAAGGGCUAAUGGAAGUCCAUUACAAUGAUGUACUAUUCUCCAAGAUUCCUCCAUAAAAUCUUCAACUGGGUAAGCUUGUCCACAGGCAUGCCAACUCAAAAGAUUAAGUGAUUUUUUGUUAUCUAGAGGUUCAUCUUUGCACUUGACACACUCACCAUCAGCUACAACCAAAGCCUUAUUUCUAGUUCUUACAAUGAUUUACUUCCUUGGCGAAGCCAAUUUCGCGUGCCAACAAUUGCAUUGAAGUGGUCCCAUUUGUCCACAUCAUCAAGAACAAUAAGAUUUCUUCUGCAACAUAACGCAUCCUUAAUAUAAUCCCUUCAUCAACAUCAUGUAUGUCAUCAACAUUGUUUAAGAUAUCUGAAAGAAGUUGCCUCUGUAGUCAAACUACACCAUUGGAUUCUUUUGACUAUUCUCUAACAUUUGAUGGAAAGAUCCUACCUUCAAACUUAUGAAACUGCUGGUUAUAAACACUCUUUGCUAUGGUUGUCUUCCCUACUCCACCAAUCCCAUAGAGUAUAUCAAAGGCAGAACUGUGGGAGCCAUAUUCUUCCAACCAUAAGUUGAUAAGUUUUACUAGAGGAUCUCUUCCGAUGAAAUGAAGGGGGAUAUGAAAUAUUUUACGAUCCAAUUUCUUUGAGACCUUGUCGACAAUAGAUUAGACAAGUUGUGCCUCAUGCCUGCAUCAAAAAGAAAAAUACAAUAUAUGAUAAUUAGUAAGUCUCUCUAUAAAGUUUCAAAAUCUUAGUAUCAUGUAGAAAUCGUUGCAUUUUUCAAGUAAUUAAGAACGAAAAUAUCAGAAAAUGAGAAAAAAAAGUUUCUUUUAUUUUUGUUUUCUUUAAUGUUCACUAAGUUGGGAGUGGUACGGUUUUUUCUAAAUUGAAGAUGUCGCACGUGUGCGGCGUCACGAUGAAAACAUCCACCCUCAAGAUUUUAUCUAAUGUUGCAAAAUAUAGGGAGACAAGGAAUUCUUAUCUUUUAUUAGUGGAAAAAUGAAGUGGGAGUCGCCACCUAAUACUUUGGUCACAAGAAAUUAUCGUAUUUUCUAAUUGUUGGUCCGUCUAUGGUUUAAGAAAAGUCCUCUUCGGUAAAAAGAUCCUUAUCUUAUCGGGUAAAAUCUAACCGCUUUAACGUCAAAAAAAGAAUUUAAUAUCCUGAAUACGUCUUACGUAUAAGAUCAUUACCCUAGAUAUUAAAAGAAAACAAAAUAUUUUUUUGAAGUUUUUUUGAAAUAUUGGCCUAGUUCUCGCGAUUUUAAUAAACUGGUUAUUAAAGCCAAAAUACAUGCUAAUACAUAUUUUUGAAGUUUUCUUUGUUAUAUGAAAGUACAAUAUGAUUUUUUUUUAGAGACUUGGUCGUAUGCAUGAAAACAAAAUAUUUUUUAUGUUUUGCCGAAGACCGGGUAUUUUAAUAUCGAAUUUGUAUCUUUACAGUAUAAAAAUACAAACCGAUAUUAAUUAAAAUGCAAUAAUUUUUUUUACAGAAAAUCACAAAUUUUUUGAAAAAAAAAAAUUUAUUAUUUUUUUAAGACUGGAACUAGCCCGAGUUAAGCCAAUGACCCGGCUGCUUGCUCAACGGCUGUUCAAGUGAAUUAUAAUUCACUUGCUCAGUGAACUUGAACAGUAAAGAGCAACAAUUACUGUUCAAGUGAAUAUUCACUUGAACAGUAAAAGAUAACAAUGAAAAAAAGAAAAUGCAUGCAGUGACAGAAACAAUGCAAUGUGAAGAGAAAUGUGUGAGGCUUACCUAGUAUCUGAAAUAGAUGAAGACGAUUGCAAUGAAACUGCUGCGCAGGAUCAGAGGUGACUGAUUUUGGGGACGAUGAAGACGAUCAACGCUGGGUCUUUUUUCUUCUGGUUUUUCUCUGCCUUUUUUGAAAUGAUGAAGCCCCUGUGUUCUUCUCCUCUCCGUCUUUUCCCUUCCCUUUUCUUUCUGUUUUUCUCCCCUGUAUUCCCCUCUCAGCGGUUCUUGGCGUGGCUGCUGGGAUGAAGAAGAUGAUGAGCUGACGAUGGCGUUGGCAGUGCUGGUGCAGUUGUGAUGGAGAAUGGCAGUGGCUAGUUUCUGGAAGAAUUGAAGAUGAUGAAAAUUCUGGUCUUGCGUUCUUUUUAUUAUUCUGGACUUUCUCUCUGGGUUUCUUCCUUUGCUUCUGUUUCUUUGGUUUUAUUCCCUUGCCUCUGGGACAGCAACGAUGGAGGCUGGUUGCUACUGGUUUUUUUUCUUGCUUCUGUUCGUCUGCUCCUCUGUUAUCGUCUCCCUAUGCUUCCCAGUUCUCCUUCCUGUCUCCCUCUUUUCUUUUUAUUCUCCCUGUUCUCUUUCUCUCCCUCUCUGUCUCGUCUUUCUCCUUUCCGUUAUCCCCCUCUCUCUGUUUUUCUCCUGUCCGUUGUCCUCUCUGGUCUUUUUUUUUUUCUGUCUUUCCUCCUCCUUUUCAUCGUCUUUCUCUGGCUUUUAUUGUUGGUGGGAGAAACCACUGGUGGUGGCUUUGAAACACUCAGAGGGGAUAAAACACAAAGUUUUAUUACAAAAUCCGAAGCUUAUAAUUAACACAAAAACUCACAAUACACACCCUCUCUUUCUCUCUUUCUCUUUCUAGUGUUUCUCUCAAUUAUCUCCACACAAUUUAACAGAAGUUGGGCACUCUAUUUAUACACGAAAUCAGAAUACAAAAAUUCAAACUUUCCAAGUGUGAAGGUGGGUGGCUGGUGGCUGGCGGUUGCGGCUGGUCGGUGGGUGGUUGCCUUCCUUGACCUUCUGGAUGUUGAGUUUAAUAUUCAACAAAUCUCCCCUUUAAACUCAAUCGAGGGAUAUCAUGCCAAGCAUGAACUUUAAUCAAAUAAAUUCUUCUCCUUUUAAUGGCUUGGUGAAGAUGUCCGCAACUUGAUCAUUUGUGUUGCAAGAUAUCAGUUGGACUUCUUCAUUCUUCAUGUGUUCCCGGAUAAAGUGAUGACGUGUAUCAAUAUGUUUGCUCCUUUCAUGAUACACUGGAUUCUUUGCCAAUGCGAUUGCUGAUCGAUUGUCAAUAUAAAUCUCCGUAGGAUUUUCUUGAGGAAAUCCCAAAAACUUCAGCAUAUUCCUUAACCAUAUUGAGUGACAUACGGCUGAGUUGGCAGCAACAUACUCAGCUUCACAGCUUGAUAAUGUUACAAUCGAUUGCUUCUUGGAUGACCAUGUGAAAGAUGUGUCUCCCAUGAAAAAGACAAACCCUGUUGUGCUUUUCCUUUCAUCCAAAUCUCUACCCCAAUCACUAUCCGAGUAGCCUACAAGAUUAAAGUCUUUACUUGAGGUAUAAAACAUACCUUCAUUCAUUGUGCCUUUGAUGUAGCGAAGAAUUCUCUUGGCUGCAUUCAAAUGAGACUGGUCUGGUGUCUCCAUGUAUCUGCUGAUGAGUCCGACUCCGUAGAGUAUAUCCGGUCUGGUACAUGUCAAGUACCUUAAGCUUCCUACUAAGCUUUUGAAGUAAGUUGGAUCAACAUUUCCAACCUUACUCUUCCUCAAUUCCACUCCAUUCUCAACUGGAGUUGAUACCGGAUUGCAGCUUUCCAUCUUGAACCUUUCAAGAAUAUCUUUGGCGUAACCGCUUUGGGAUACAAAAAUCCCUUCUUCCUUCUGCGUUACUUCUAAGCCAAGAAAAUGUGACAUUAGACCAAUGUCAGUCAUUUCAAACUCCUGUACCAUGCUUCGUUUGAAGUCUUCAAACAUGGUAGGGUUGUUGCCGGUGAAUAUCAAAUCAUCAACAUACAGGCACGCAAAUAAGAUGCUGCCAUCUGCUCCUUUCUUCACAUAUAUUGCGUGUUCAUAUGGACAUUUUUCAAAUCCAUUAUCUUGAAAAUACCUGUCAAUUCUGGUAUUCCAAGCACGCGGAGCUUGCUUCAAACCAUAGAGAGCCUUCUUCAACUUGUAUACUUUGCCUUCAUUUUCAGCAUCAAUGUAUCCAAGUGGUUGUUCAACAUAGAUCUCUUCUUCUAGGAAGCCAUUCAGAAAUGCUGACUUCACAUCGAGUUGAUAGAUCUUCCAUCUAUGUUGUGCAGCUAGUGAGAUCAUCAGUCUGAUUGUCUCUAGCCGGGCUACUGGAGCAAAUACUUCUCCAUAGUCAAUGCCUUCUCUCUGUUUGUAGCCUUUAGCCACUAAUCUGGCUUUGUAUCUUUGCACUUCUCCUUUGGCGUUCUUCUUCGUCUUGUAGACCCAUUUGACACCUAUUGCUUUCUUGUUUUCUGGUAGAUAAGUCAGCUUCCAGGUAUCAUUCUUCUCAAUGGCAUGUAUUUCUUCAUCCAUUGCUUCUAUCCAUUUCUCUUCUGUGAUAGCUUCAUCGAAGCUUAGUGGGUCACUAUCUGCAAAGAAACAAAACAGAGUUGUAUCUUCCAUGACCUGAGUGGUAUCGUACAACUCUUCAAGAUUCCUCAUCCUUCUUGGUCCUUCUGAUGAGGAUGUGUGGUGGUGUUGAUGAUGAUGCUCCUGGUGUGUUCCUCCUGUUGAAUACAGGGAAACUGUGCCGGACUUUGUGGUUCAGCUGCUGGCACAAUCGGUUCUUCGACAAGUACUGUUGGUACUUCUUCACCUUCAAGGAUCAAAUCAGUGUUGAUCCAUUGACUGCUUCUUGAUCACCAUUCCAUGCCCAAGAUUUAUCUUCUUCAAAGAUAACAUCUCUACUCGUAAUCACCUUCUUCGUGAUGGGAUUAUACAGCCUGUAUCCCAUCCUUCUUUCACCAUAUCCGACAAAGAUGCAUUUCUCGCUCUUAUCAUCGAGCUUUCUCCUUCUUGCAUCUGGGAUCUUUGCAUAUGCCACACAACCAAAGACUCGUAGAUGAGUAACACUUGGUUUGUGACCACUCCAUGCUUCUUCUGGAUGACUCCUUGCAAACUUCUGGUUGGGCAGCGAUUCAGUAGAUACACUGCACAUGAUACAGCUUCAGCCCAGUAUUGCUUGGGCAACUUCUUUGCUUUGAGCAAACUUCUGGCCAUGUCAAGAAUCGUGCGAUUCUUCCUUUCUGCUACACCAUUCAGCUGUGGUGUAUAAGCUGGUGUCGUCUGAUGUCUGAUGCCUUGUUGUGUACAAUAGGCUUCAAAGUCAUUUGCUGUAUAUUCUCCACCUUGAUCAGAUCACGGUUCUGAUCGUAACCAGUUUGCUUCUCCACAAUUGCUUUAAAAUCUUUAAAACAAUUGAAUACUUCUGACUUCCUCUUCAGAAAGUAUAUCCACGUCUUUCUACUAAAAUCAUCAGUAAAAGUGAGGAAGUACCUAUUUUGUCCAGUCGACAUAGGCGUAAUUGGGCCACACACAUCUGUGUGUACUAACUCCAGUGGCCUCUUUGCUCUCCAGUUGACUUCUUUGGCAAAACUGGAUCUGUGAUGUUUGCUGAGGACACAACUCUCACAGACUUCAUCUGGAUGAUCAAUGUGAGGCAAACCUUUGACCAUCUUCUUGCUUGCUAGCAUCUUCAGACUUGUGAAAUUCAGAUGUCCAAGCCUCAGGUGCCAAAGCCAUUCUUCACUGUUGGUGAUGGCACUCAAACACCUUUGCAUCAUACUGGAUGUUCAAAGGAAACAUCUUGUUCUUGGACAUUUUCACAUAGGCCAUUAAUCUCCAAUUGUUGUCUCUAAUUGUCAGAUGACAAUUCUUCGAGUAAAAAGUAUAUCCUCUCUCCAAAAGUUGACCUAAGCUGAUCAGGUUCUGCUUUAUGGCUGGGACAUAAUACACAUCGGCGAUGUAGCUGGAAUCGUCAUUCUUCAACUUGACUGGGAUGUUGCCUUUACCUUUGAAUGGAACCUUUGUGGUAUCUCCAAAAGUAACUAGACCUUGCUUGGUCUCAUCUAGAUCACCAAAUAACUCUCGGUAGCCGCACAUGUGAUUGCUGGCUCCAGUAUCUAGAUACCAUAUAUCUCCUUGUUUCUCAUCAAGUCCUUGUUGGACAAGAAAUGCAGCUUCUUCUCUGUCAUCCUUCUCUACAUAGUUGGCUUGCUCACGUAUCUCCAACGGAGCUUUCCUGCAUUCAGUGCUAUAGUGCCCAAAUUGAUUGCAGCUAUAACAUUUGAUAUUCCUCUUGUCACGGUUAUUGUAACCGCCUCCUCUUCCUCUAGGAGUGAAUGCUUGUUGGCCUCGGCCUCCUCUGGUGGUGUUUCUACCACCUCUUCCUCUGAAGCUUGUAUUCCAAGAUCUUCCUCUUGUUGAACCUCUUCCUUGGAAUCUCUAGAAUCCUCCUCUGG